AGUCCAAUUAUCAAUAUAUUGAUAAUUAAAUUUUCUGGUGAUUCGAAAAUCGCGAUCUAGCUAUCCGAUCAAUCACAACCUCUUAUGUGUGUAACCUUAUAGGUUCUAUUCUGUUUGGUAGUGAGAUAUAUUUUGAUUACUAUCAAGAAUAUCACUAAAACUCCUUUCAAUGGAUCGAAAAAAUUCUAAUUCAACCCAAUAAAAAUUAUCGAUCAUCCAAAUAAUUCUCAUGAGUCUCACAAUCCAUCAGUGAUGCCAAGCAGUAUGUAGUGACAUUCUAGUAGAAUAAAAAACUAAACCUCCUGGUGUAGUUGCUGUGUGAUACAGUUCUUCUAUCAUGAGUCCCAACUUGACAAACGUCAUGGAACAACUCAUCAAACCCCAUCAUCUGUCAUAUGUCAAAUUUAUUUGACCCGAGUUUCUAAUAUCAAAAACCCUUUCCACUGUUAACUCUGUCUUGGCGAAGGUCUUUCACACUCGGUCCUAUAAAUCACAUAGAACUAACGCUCCCUGUCUACUAAGGGAGAUAGUGUCACGCCCCGACACCCGCCUAUUUGGUCAGAUUCAAGGACGCCAACAGACUGCCGAACGGACAGAGUAUUUCCUGUACGUCCUAGGCGUCGCAAUCAAUACAAUACAAGAGGUUCCAACUAGGAACAGUAUUCAAGCAUAGAUUGCAUAAGUAUCAAAUAACAUAAAACAACUAGCUAUUACAAGCAUUCAUACACAUGCCUUGUACAUCACAUUUACAACUUGAUUUCAUCCAAAUACAAUCUAAGUUAUUACAACUUUUACAAUUUUGAUACAUUUUUCUUCUGUUCUUUUCAUCUCCUAUACCCCUAGGCUAUGCCGACUCGGGGUACUGCUAUCUCUGGUCUCUGGGGUAGAGCGCUACCUACGAAGCUACGCCCUUUCCUCGCGCCGCCGCGCCACUCACAUGAGAACCCGUAACACCCCAAAACAACGUCGGGUGAGAACUAACUCCAUAGUUCCCAGUGGGUACGGCCACCCAAAGGGAAAACCUCGAUCAUCAGGUCCAAAGAAGGCAAACAACAUGUUAGCUCAAUAGAUAGAUAUGAAAUCAUAUAUUUUAUGGAACUAACAUAUAUCAUGCUUUUGCCUCACAAAUGCGAUAAUGCCACUCGAUAUGCAAAUCAUGCAAUAAUGCAACAACAUAAGUAGAUCUACCGAUUCUACUUCUAUCUCGCUAUCUAGCUCAUGUCCAACUAGCUUCUAAGGUUUCUAAUACCUUAGAUCCAUAUCAUUUACCACUAGCCCUUAAGGUUUCAUCUACCUUAUCCAAGCUAGCCACUCGACUCGGCAUCGAGUUAAUCAACUGCAGAAUACCGCGCUCUGUCCGGCUCGAGAUGAAGGACAUCUCACUUGCACCUCAGCCUUCAAUCCACAAACCGCAUCGCCCAACGGGUCAUCCAGAGUUGCGUACACCCGUGGUCAAAGAUCUUCCCGGUGGGAGGGGAAUAUGCCACACACACCCGCUGCCCAAGACCCCUAAUAGGGAGGGGAACAUGCCACACACAGCCUAGCGGUCCAAGAUUCUUCCAUAAGCCUCUUCUCGAAGUUCUUUCGGUGGGAGGGGAAUAUGCCACACACACCCGCAGCCAAGAACUAUUGAGUUCACAAGUCCUGGGAUUCCGGAAUCCACUUCACACAGCCCAAGGGUUGGUCUUAAACCCUAUAGUGUCGACCUAUCUAGGUCCAAUGUCCUUUCCAUCCUAGGUUCAAUUGACUCAAGGUUCAAUGCCUUUAUCACAUAACCUAGGUUUACUUGACUCUAGGUCCAAUUCUCAACCUAUGUUCUUUAACACUAGGUUUAAUGCCACUCUAUGUUUAAUACCACUAGGUUCAAUGCCACUCGAUCUACUUGACAUCCUAAUUGUCCGCAUCAAGUACUAUAGUUACAUGUUCUUGUUUUCCGAUGUCGAGUUCUCUAACAACCUAGAGUUAUCGACCCAAGUCCACAUGCAUAUAUACAUAAUCUAGCAAUAUGCUCACAAUGCCAACAUGCAUCAUAAACUAACAUAAUCAACAACAUGUUAACAUUCAUUUAUAUGCUCUAGCAUGUUCUACUACAUAUCAACGUGAGUCUAUCCACUAGCAUAGAUUUUCAAUGCAUCAAUAUGCAAUUAUCAACUAGCAUAAUUCUCAUAAUGCUAACAUGCAUAUAUUUUCCAUCUAACAUAUUUACAAUGUCCACAUGCACAUACAUAUGCAUCAACGAGAAUCCAUACUCCACUUUGACAUGGAGGCGACCUAGUCGCUUUGGUGAAGCUGUCACGCCCCGGGGUCCCUUUUAGUUUAAAAGAUAGCGGAAAAGCGUCUGAAUUUUUUUUUUUUUUUUUUUUUUUAGGAAAAUCUGACCCCAGAGUGUGCCAGAUCCGCCACAAAUACAGGAGCUCCACUGUUCACACGGACAGAGUCUCCUGUAUUUGCACGGCGUCGCACAAGUACAAAGAGUAUAAUACACAUACAAUCACAACCAAAACCAGAUGAACAACAAGAUAGAUAACAUUCAUCCAUUCCAUUCACACACGAGUAAUAUACUUGAAUUAUGAAUUCCACAUCUAUCAGUUAAAAUGUUUCCUACCGGAAACUGAUUUUGAAAUACUAAAUCCAUAAAACCACAGAGAAAUCAAUUUAAGAACUAAUCCCACACGGGAACCAUUCUUUUUCAAACCAGCUACCACGAGGUAGAAAACUGUUUUAUUUCAAGAAAAACUCAAAUCCUUAGUACAUUUCAAACAAUUAAAACUCAGAUAAUCCGAUAAUAAUAGAACUGAACCAUAAUAGUCUAAGCAUUUAUUCAAGCAUGAAGGGGAAAAGGAAUAACGACUCGGGAAGGAGCUCUAUCGCACGCUAGACACGCUCCUCACCAGCUGUCCACUCGGGUCCUGCUACGUCACCUGUAAUGGGGCGGGGGGUGAGAACAUGUAAACAUGUCUCCCCUCCCAGUGGGUACCGCAAGCCAAGAAGGCGAGGGGUACUCACUAGUCACGAGGAUAAACAAAUAUACGGAUAAUGAUAAUACGUACUAAAAUAAACAAGUACGGAAAUGAAUAUAAAUGAACAACUACAGCUACUGUAUGUAUGCAUCAACGGGACAAUCAAUCCAAAAGUACCCAAUCUGAACCACUGCUCUCUUGGUCAGCACCGCAGACCUCAAGCCAAUGCACAUACUACUCUCCAGUGCAUAUAACCCUUCUAGGGCUCACGGGUUGUCACCAUUCAACCACUUUUCGCGAAAGAACACUCCUUGCGGUGGAUCACGAGCAGUGUUCGUGAAAUGCGACGAGUAUCGGGCGAUCAAUGCAUAUGCUCAAUGAUCAACGCGUCGCAACCAGCCGACAAUCCUGCCCCAGGGCCCAUCGACCGCAUGGGUCAUCAUGUAACCAAAUCGACCAACCAGGUCACAAAUAUGGAGUAGAAACUCGACCAACCAGGUCAUAGAUACAACAAAGAGAGAAUCAACCAACCAGAUCACAGAUAUCAAUCUGAAGAAAUCUACUCUACUCCUACACAAGAUACCGAGCAUGCAAACAACCGAGUAGAGUAAUACGAGGAUAAUAUGAUAAGAAGUAUAUGAUGAUAGCAAUGUAAAUAGGAAGGGUGGAAGGAACGUCACGAGACGUGCACCACUGUACGACAUCGGGUCGAAGUACCCACCUAUAUGUAUCCGACGAAGGUCUCUGCUGUGAAGACGGUGCAACCGAACCUACGAAAGGUCCACGGGUUAAGGUCUAACCCACUGACAUGAAAAGCUAACUCACAACCCCUGCUAACCAAAACCGACGACCGAUUUCCAAAACCGAUUACCAAAUAAGCGGAAGUCCCGAAAACUGCACCGGAACUUUCUCGCCGCUCCCGUCGUUUCCGAACCCUCAAAACGACGCGGGUGACCAGCCAACCAGGCUCAGCGAGCCACAAUCAGCCACGAGGCACCGUCGGAUGAAAUCCGAACCGAAACCACGGUUCUAUCGGCAGAUUUGCCGAAAAACCCUCGGAAAUCACUUUUCGAUUUCCGCAAAGGCUUGGGGCCUUGGAACGAUCAGUCCAGAGGUUACCCUCGCAUUUACACGCUGUCCACGCAUCUACAAAAGCAGAAGGCCUAAAAGCCGAACCAUACAUGAAAUUGCAUCAUUUCAUGUGAUUUCUAGGCUUUUCUGGACCGUGCACGCAAACCGGAGGUCGAUAAUCCGACGUCGUAUCGCUGACAGGUUUCAGCAUGUCGGAGGCCGUGCUCACCUUUCGGAGCACUGCCGGCCACUGCGGUGCGCGCACGAGCGACGCGAAGUACUGAAAAACUGCGCGCACAGCGCGAAGAUCGCGACUAACUCACAAACCAGGGCAUCUUUGCCGCUGUUGGAGGUGAGCACGAUGUUCAGCACGAGUUGUAGAUCAUCGUGCUCACUUCCCGAAACUUAGAAGGCUUCUCGGAUCACCGGAAAAGAGACCGGAACCUCGGAAAACAGUGCUGGAACAUAAAAUGUCCUUACCAGACUCGAGGAGAGCUAGGGUUGGUCGCCGGCGGCCGGGAGGCGGGCGGUCCGGCCGGAGGAGGGAGAACUCGGUCCAGGAGGUCCUGGGAGGGUGCUGGCCGGCGGCGGGCAGCAACCGGUGGCGCGGCGGCCGAGAUCCACCCUGCACACCUCCUCUCGGGUUCGGGCUUCCCGGCGGCGUGGCGGCGGCCUGAGGCGGUCGGGGCGACUCUGGUGCGGCGCCGGAGGCCGAGGGGAGGACGGUGCACCCCUAGGUGGGCUGCGGCAGCGCCUGGAAACUAAGCGGGCCCGACCUCGGCCCGCACGUGACUGGGCGGCCACAGGAAGCUCCAGCGGCGGCCGGCGGCGCGCGGGGACGGCGGGGACGCGCGCGCCGGGUUGCCGGAGGUCGCCGGGGCCGACUGGGGGGCGGCGCGGCCGAAACGAGGCGAGGGCGCUGCUCCCGAGCCGGCUCGGUCUGGGCUGACCCGAGCUGGCUGCAGGGAGCCGGGGUGGCUCCGGCGGCGUUCGAGGGUGGCCGAGGCCGGCGGGCGAGGACGCCGGAGGAGAGCCUCGGCCAGGGGAGGGGGAAGCUCGGCUUAGAUGCCCUCCCGAGCACAAUACACGAAAUGUGGCAGGUCGGGGCUAGGGGAGAGCUAAGAGGUGGCCGGGGUGACUUCUCCGGCGGCCGGAGCAGCCUGCCGGCGGCCGGGGCGCGAGCACGAGCUGGGCAAGGAGAAGGUGGGGUGGUUAGGGCAGCUGGGGAAAAAUUAGGGUUAGGGUUUCCUUAGCCGAACCCUAAAACCUCAUUUAUAUCACACGACGAAUUGUCGAAAACCCCUCCUAGUCCAAUACCCUUUUUACCAAGCCCCCUGCCAACAUGUGGAAAAUCCGCAUAGGUCCCUCGACAUUCGAAUUCGCGCAAGAUCGCGCAUAAAAUAUUGGACCUUUUCGCGAUUAAUCGAUUUUGCCUACUUGACCUCUUAGCGGACUUUUCACGAUUCCCGAAGAUCCGUCCGUCGGAUUUCCGAACGGAUUGCGCCAGCGCGUUCAGUACGACUGGGGCGUCGAAUCUAGCAUUUUACUUUGUCCGAUCUGGUCUCCGAUCAGCGUCAAAACCAGCCCUCUUUGAUUCCACCCAAAUAACCGCUUAUGUAAUUUCCAUUAAACCCCUUUUUCUCGACAACCGUGCCUCAGAACCCAAUUCUGUCAGUGCCAUUGGGUCCAGGAUAGUCGAGCGGUUGAAAACGAGCUAUUGGAAGGCUAUAUUCGGAGUCCGAUACGCGUCGAAAGUCCACUCUACUCCGCGGCCUCUCCGGAAAAUCGGAGUUACUAUUCACUUAAGUCGAACUUCCGGGUCGCGUAACUUCUCCGUUUUAACUCGUUUUCUCCUGAAAUUUGACGAGUACACUUAUAAUUAUAUUACACACAAGAACAUCGUCAAACAAAAGGGUUUAAUCAAUAAAUGGAAAAAUCUCAGUUAUUACAUUCAUCUGAAGUGAGGAUUGCCAGAGGAGCUUUGAUGAGUUGAGACAGAGGUUGACGUCAGCUCCUAUCCUUGCCCUUCCUGUGAUGGGGGAAGGAUUUGUGAUCUACAGUGAUGCAUCGCACAGUGGACUGGGUUGUGUGCUGAUGCAGCAUGGUAGGGUAAUUGCAUAUGCUUCACGGCAGUUAAAGGAUUAUGAGAAGAAUUACCCUACGCAUGACUUGGAGCUUGCCGCAGUAGUCUUUGCAUUGAAGUUGUGGCGGCAUUACUUGUACGGCGAGCACUGCGAGGUUUUUACUGAUCAUAAAAGUUUCAAGUAUCUGUUCACCCAAAAGGAGUUGAAUCUGAGGCAGCGCCGGUGGUUGGAGUUGCUGAAGGACUAUGAUACUAGUAUUCAGUAUCAUCCCGGCAAGGCAAAUGUGGUGGCAGAUGCGUUGAGCAGGAAGGCAGUGCAGAGCUGGAGCAUGUUGAUCACUCGGCAGAGAUCGUUACUCGAGGAGCUGCGGCGGCUGAGACUCGAGGUAGUGUCCCCAGGAUUUACUACGAGACUGAUGUCUAUGAUCUUGCAGCCCACUCUGUUGGAUAGGAUUCGAGAGAAUCAGAGUGGAGACCCGCACUUGUCGAGGAUUCGAGAGCAGCUUGAGAGGGGACAGGCCGAGGGCUUCGUUGUGGACAGUUCGGGAGUACUGCGGUACAGGGACCGACUAUGUGUAUCUAUGGAUUCAGAGAUCCGAGAGGACAUUUUGAGAGAGGCUCACUGUUCACCUUAUACGGUUCACCCGGGUGGAACCAAGAUAUAUAAGGAUUUAAAGGCUCAGUUUUGGUGGAAUGGAAUGAAGAGGGACAUUGGCAGAUUUGUGGCUUAGUGUCUGACUUGUCAACAGGUAAAGGCCUUGCAUCAGGUACCUGCUGGCAAGCUUCAGAGUCUGCCAGUGCCCGAGUAAAAAUAGGAGCAGAUCACGAUAGACUUUGUCGUCGAAUUGCCGAGAGCACAGGGUGGUUUUGAUGCGAUUUGGGUGAUAGUGGACAGACUGACCAAGUCUGCUCACUUCCUACCAGUGCAGACCACUUGGUCCAGAGAGAGACUCGCUCAGUUGUACUUGGAUGAGAUAGUGAGGUUGCAUGGCGUGCCCACUUCGAUAGUAUCCGACCGAGACCCGAGGUUCGUCUCGCACUUUUGGAGGAGUCUUCAGACGGCCUUGGGCACUCAGUUGCAGUUCAGCACAGCGUUUCACCCACAGACAGAUGGUCAAUCAGAGCGGACCAUUCAGACUCUAGAGGACAUGCUGAGGGCCUGUGUCCUGGACUUUGGAGCAGGGUGGUAUCGGCAUUUGAGACUGGUUGUGUAAUACAUUGAACUUCGGCAAACUGUGAAUCUGAGGGUUGGAAUAGUGAUUGGAACUCUUCUACAACUUUUGUAGGAUUCUUGAGAGGCUUCAGCAAAUUACUGGAGCAAGCAGAUAACUGGAAAUGGAAAAGUGCAUUGAAAUUGCAUUAUUCUAUUACAAUGCUCUGAAAUUGGUCAAUUACGAAUUUCGAAUGUGGGAAAUGGUAAAUGAAACCACCCUACAUAUUCUAAAGGGUUUGGACAAGUUUUUGGAUAAGUUAGAGGGUGAUUGAAAAGUUAAAAGCAAGAAAGUGCAUUGAAUGGCGAAAUUCAGCAUUUCUGCAUUGUGUACCGGUACAGACAUCACCCUGUACCGGUACAGCAAGCAGCAGCAGCAGCAGCUGCUGCGUGGCUUUGAGGAUAUUUUGGUCUUUUGCUUUGAGCUUAUCCCCUAAACCUCCCAGCUCGACCCUCCCAGUGGAUAGACAUCACCCCUGAGCUUCUGAACCAGGGUUGAAGCUCUUCCCUCUUUCUUUCUCUAGGGUUUCUCUCUCUUCGAGUAGAAAUCGUCGAUUUACGUCUAUUUCUCGCCGUUUGUCGCGCUAGCUGGUUUGUGUACUUUGGAGCAGCUAUGAGUGGAUGGAGAGGACUCGCAUGGGAGGUAUUUUCGCAGCUCCAAGUCUCAGGGAAGCUGAAUUGAAGUCUAGUGAGGUAAACAAGCUGGUUUCUCUUUCUAGUUUGAGAUUAGUGAUAGUUUUUGAUGUUGGUUCUCGAUUCUUGCUACCAGCUGGUUUGAGAUGGUUUAAAGCACCAAUUGAGGAGUGGUUUUGCUGUAAUUCUUCACCCCAAAGUCAGAGUUAAAGCCUUCGAGGUAAUUAAUGAGUUUUUCUCUAUUUCAAUGAUGAAAACGAUGAUAUUAGCGAAGUCAUGAUGCGAUUUUGGGAUGUUUGCUCACAGCAGGUUUUCAAAUUAAGUUGAGCUGAAUUUGUGACCUUGGGGACUGGUUUAGAGGGUGUUUCAACCUGGGGUAAGUUGAAAUUUCAAUUAGAAAUUGGAUUAAGUAAGAUUUUGAUAAUACUACCUAGUAUACGAGUAUUUUGAUGUCGUUUUGAUGAAUGUUCACAGCGAGGCUGCGAUUGACUUUCAGAUUAUCUUUGGCUGAGUGAGAGCAAUUAGAGGCUUAACUUGAGGUACUAAACUAGCCCAAAACAGGAAUUUAAGCUAUUACUUUAUACUAAGUACAAUGUGUGCUGCAAUUGGACAUUUCGGUCGUAGUUUGAUGCGCCUUCCGUGUUUCGUUUUCAGCAGAGUUGGGGCUCCGCUGAGCUGAGUUUCGAGACUUCUAUUGGCUGGAUUGGGCUUGGUGAUAGGUGGGUCUGACCUUCCCGAAAUGGGUGAAUUUUUCUCUAUGUCUCCUUUGAUAUCUGAGUUGAAGUUAUUUUAUAUUCAUGUGAAUAUAUGUAUAGUUCAAGGCAUUGCGACAUGCAUUGAUGGGUAGACCAUAUCGGAUAGGAUAGCAUCUUUAAACAGUAAUGAAAGAUUCAUGACUUGUUCACUCUACAUGGUUACCUGUUAAAGUACUACGUGUUCAUGAUACUAGUAGCUUGUAUAUGCAAUUUUAGCUUGAUGUUAUCCAAGAGGAUAUAAUGAUAAGUUCGUGAAUGGACUAAUUAGUUCUGUUGAACAACAAAGAGAUUGAUGUAUUUAGGAUUGAGCUAUGCAAUGUUAUAUAGCAAGUAUAAUUGCUAUACUCUGAAAGAUCAGGUAAAGGCCUUUGUUUGGCAUAUGCAUUUCUAAUUGUAGAAUGAAUGGCAUAGAGAUCAUGUGAAGAGUGUUUUAUCGCUUGUUUUACUUGCUUGCAUUACCCUGUUAGUUUCUACUUUCACAUGAUAGACUUGUAUUAUGGUAUAUGUUCUAGUAAGUAACUAAAAUUUCAUAUAAUGACAUAAUUUGAAUGAUUAUUCAACUGAAUAUAAUCUAGUAAAUAACUAGAUUUGGAUAUGAUAACAUACUUGUAUAGUCAAGUAGAGAUUUAUAUGGGACUACAGGAUAUGUGCCAUGAGUCUAUGAACAGAACCUUAGUGAACCACUUUUCUUAUGUGUAAGGAGUAGUGAGAGAUUGUGAGUGACUGACCAGGUAUAGCCUGAUAGAAUCACUAGUGUGAUGUAAAGCUUUAACUUGUUAAGUUAUAUUAACGACUGGUAGAAUCUUGUCAACAAGUUGUUGAUAGUGACUUAUGAUUGUGUACUACAGUGCCGACCUUGGGUCGAGUUGAGAUUCCAUGUCAGAGACAUGAUGCUGUUAAGAUAUUUGUACCCUGGACUAUAGCUAGCAUGCCAUUAUGUUCUUUCGUACAUGCUUGCGAGGGUCGCGCCCCCCAAGCCCCGCGUUCCGGAGUGGCUUGAGUUGAGAUCCCAUGUCAGGGACAUGAUGUUGUUGUGAGACUGGUACUGUGGGCUACGGCUUGCAUGCCAUUGUGCGCGUUUGCACACGCUUGCCGGGUCGCUUCCCCCCAAGCCAGCACUGCCGAACAGCUUAGCGACAGAUGCUCGCAAAUGUACGAAGUGAGCGCCGAAAUGGAAUGCCGUGGGGGAGGCUCAUCCCUAGAGUGGGGAUGUUUACUACCACGGGGCCAUUAGGCGCGGCACGGCUUGAACUUACCUUGUGUAAAUCCGUUGAAAAUUGGGUUAUGUCCAGUACUUUAACCUUAGCUGGACAGAGUAGUAAAGUUACUAUAUGUCGUGGGUUAAGUGAACUUAUUGAUGAACAGAUUAGAAAGUUGACAUCAUGUUUGGUUAGCGACAUAAAGAAUGUUUCAUUUUUGCUAAUGUAGAAAGUAAUCACGUGAUAUUAUCUGUAAUUCCGGUAAUAAUGAAUUAUCUUGCUUGCAAUCUGGUAUAUGUUGGGUUAAACUGUCAAGAACAUGAUUGAUAGAAUUCAUCCUGAUAAUUGAUACCUGCAGUCUAACGAUAUUUAUUGAUUGUUGAGUAAAUAGCAUGAGUAGUUUACUUUUACAUUUGCUUAUUGCAUUUACUGGCUUAUUGCACUUACUUGCUGAUCGCAUUUACUUGCUUACUUAUUACUAUCUACUCAUGCCACAGUUGACCUAGUGGUGUACUUCGCCACUCUCGGCGGCUUACCCACUAGGAACUAUUGUUUAAUAGUCCUCACGCCCUCUUUGUUGUUGUUUUUACAGAGCCUUCCACAGCGGGAAAGGCUAGGGUUCCUGGCGAGGGGUCAGCGGCUAGCUAGAGCCUUUUUGGACGUGUACUAGAUCACCUCCAACAGUUUAUAUAGUUUAGUAUAGAGAUGUAUAUUAAGUUUUUGUUAAUUGUACGUUCUUCUUAUUUCUUGUAUUAAGGUUUGGAUUGUAUAAGUUUAAACUUAAAGUCGUGCUCUGAUUACCUGGUUAGAGUAUAUGCUUUUACUAUAUGAUUUGUAGACGCCUUGUGUAUACUUGAGUUGUGAUGUAUACGGCAGGUCUGUGCACGCAACUGGAUGUGCUUCCGCUGAUAUCCGGGCGUGACAGGUUGAGUUUGCGUACAACAACAGCUAUCAAGCGAGCAUCCAGAUGGCUCCGUUUGAGGUGUUGUAUGGACGUAGAUGUCGAUCCCUUUUGUUUUGGAGUGAUAUGGGUGAGAGGAGAACGCUUGGGCCUGAGAUUCUGAUUGAGGCUGAGGAAAAGGUAAAGGAGCCGCGACGGCACAUGUUAGCAGCCCAGAGUCGACAGAGGAGCUAUGCUGAUACCCGGAGACGAGACUUGGAGUUCCAGGUGGGAGAUCAUGUUUUUCUUAAAGUCUCGCCAUCAAGAGGGAUUCGCCGAUUUGGAGUACGUGGAAAGCUCAGUCCACGUUUUGUAGGCCCUUUCGAGGUAUUGGAGCGAGUCGGGCCAGUUGCUUACAGGAUUGCUCUACCACCACGACUAGCCUGCAUUCACGAUGUCUUCCACGUCUCGGCUUUGAGGAAAUAUGUGUUCGACCCCUCCCACAUGAUUGACUUCACUUCUCUUGAGCUUGGCGAGGACCUGAGUUACGAGGAGCGACCGGUGCGGAUUCUGGCUCGUGAGUCGAGGGAAUUGCACAACCGGGUCAUACCCUUUGUAAAGGUGUAGUGGAGUAAUCACGAGGAGCGGGAGGCGACUUGGGAGCCGGAGACGGCGAUCAAGGAGUCCUACCCCUACCUAUUUGAGGCUCUGGAUUGAGGUAUGUUUUCAGUUUCGCGGACGAAACUUUUUGUAGUGGGGGAGGAUGUAGUGUUCCUGAGCUUUGGAUAGGAUUGGCUUCAGUAUUAGUGACUGGUCGACAUCUCUCGAGAGUGUCGGACUGAGUCAGAAUCAAUUCUGCACGAAUUGGAUGCAGAAUUGGACUCGGCGCACUCAAAUAAGCAAAACUAGAGUUUUGCCAGAUUCGGGCGCCCAGAACAUGGUUUAGGUCGCCCAAAACUGAGUGUUAAAUUUAAUUGAAACUGGAGCCAAAUUUGAUCCUAUGUUCCGGGUGCCCAGAAGUGGGUCCGGAAAUCCUACAUCGUGAAUAUCGUUUGCUUCGGCGCGUGGCAGGGUGGUAGGUGAGGCCCGCCGAAGCCAUUUAUGGGCGCAGCACACCACGAGCGCAGAAUCCGAGGAGGAUCAUUUGUGCAGCCUGGAUGUUUCGGUCGCCCAGAACAUGGUUCCGGGUGCCCAGAAACGCCCGUUUCUGCAGGGACACCAGAUUACAGCUACUUCUCUUGGGGCUUAUUUUAUCCUUCCAACAGCUUACAAAUAGAUGGAGGGUGACCCUGGUGAGCUCUUUUCACUCCAUCUUCACAGUGAACCUUUGGAUUUCAUCUUCUACCCUCGAAUUUCCAUAAAUUGCUUCAAAAUCCACAACUCUAAGCUUGCUAGGAGCUGAUUCUGCAGUUCUUCAGCGACGACCUCCAGUGUUUUGGUUCGUACGUGAUGUAAGGAUGUCGGAUUUCGACAAAACUUGGUUUGCUGGAUUCUAGACUUUUAGAGCAAUCCAUGAAGCCCUUACUUGCAGAAUUUGGUGAAGGUUAGCUCAGUCGAACUCAGGUUUUCCUCUGCUGCUGUUGCUAUGGAGAGAAUUGCAAGUUUUUGAGUUUUCUUGGGAUGAACUUUGGAAGCAGGGGCUUUGUGGAGUUGAGUCACAUCCCCUAUCAACCAGUACUGGAAUUGGGACCAUCUUCACCUGAUUUGGAGAUUGUUAGGUGUGUUUUGAUAUUGGAAUUGGAUAAAUCCUAAGCUUAAGGGCUGAAAUUGAUGAAUUAUAAUGGAUUUUGGGUGAAUUGUUGUAACACACUAGACUUUUGCAAAUUGCAAGGUUCAAGUGUUUGUUUGUGUUCCGAACUUUUCCACACUUCGUGGAGGGUCGUGGAUAGUGUUCCGACCAAUGGUUCGAGCCCCGAGAUUGGAGGUUUAAAACCUAGCACCAAACUCCGAGAAGUCGGAUUUUUGGUCAGCUCUCGGGUAGUCCCAGCAGGGCUGCGUACCGGUACAGGGUUGAUGGCUGUACCGGUACACGCUGAUGGCUGUACCGGUACGCGGGGCCGUGCACCGGUACACGGGCAGUCUGCGCGCCAACCCGAGGCUCGGGUUUGGCUUUUCGUGGGUGUGUACCGGUACAUAAUCCCGUGUACUGGUACGCAGUGCAGGUUGGGCUGUUUUCGUGGAGGGGUGUUUUUGCAAUUGUUGCAACACCUAUAAAACCCCACCCAGCCCCCUCUAGGGCUCAUUUGAGCCCAGAGCUGAGGAGAAAAGGUGAGAACUCCUCCUUCCUUGGUUUUCUUCCAUUUUAGAUGGAUUUUAUUGGGUUUUGAUCUCCUCCUCUUUGGUCUCUUUUGCUUCUUGGUGGUUUUCCUUCAUGGUGGAAGGCUUGAGCUCGUGUUUGGAGCUUUGUGGGGGAGGGAUCUUCACCCUAGCUGGUUUAGAGCCUUGAUUGGGAGCUUCUUGUGAGAUUAGUACCUUGUUGAUUUCAUUUGAUUCAUGCUUCAUGAGGGUUUGGUGUGGGAAACCCUAGAUUUUGGGUUUUAGGGCUUAUUUUGGGGAUUUUUGUUUUAGGCCUUUAUGAUCUCAAUUGAUGGGAUUAGAACCUUCGUUUAGGUUGGAUUAGAAGGAUUUUCACUCUCUUUGGGAGAUCAAGAGAGGAUUUCACCAUACAAGGUGAGUUUUGCCCUUUUUUUGUAAAGGUUAAUGUUUGAGUUUUGAGAUGGUUUGUUUAGUUGUUUAACUCUUCUUCUUACACCUUUAGGGUGCUAGGAGAGUUGUGGGCAACUUCGUUCGGCGAAACGAAGAGCCUAGGACCUAACGGUGGGUUUGUCUUCUAGUAACGGGAGGAAAAUGCCUCCUAUGGGGUUAUGGUUAUCGUUUCUUUGAAAUCCUUACAUAUUCAUGCUAGAUAGAGUUUAUGUGAAUUUUUGAUUACCUAAAAUGCAUGCCUUAUGUGUAAAAGAAAUUCCACUCUAUAUAGUAGAGCCUAUAUGUGUUGUAUGCAUGCAUAUGAGUAGUACUCCCUCUUGGUGAGAUAGUAAUAUAUCUCUUACGAUGAAAUGAGCUAGAAUUGUAUAUUUGGGAACUUGGACAUCACUCUUGGACAUAUUGAACAAAAGUGUCAUAAAGGGGCACUCAAAUUAGUAAACAGUGAAACUGCAACAUAGAGACAUAGUGUAGGCCAUGUGACCUCGGCUAUUAUUCCGUGUUUUAGACACGACGACAUAGCGAUGGGCCAUGGUGUUACUUGCCACUUUUCAUAUUCUAGAUAUGAGGACAUGAUGAAUUGAGACUUGAGACCGGUUCUUUUGCUUGCAUGCCAUUUGUGCUCAUUCGCACAUGCUUGUGAGGGUCGUUCCCUACAAGUCCGGAGAUAGCCACUGCGACAUAUGCUCGCCCGUGCGGGAUUGGGCACCGAAGUAGAUUGCCGUGGGGGAUACUCAUUCCUAGAGUGGGGAUGUUGACUACCACGGGGCCAUUAGGCACGGCGCAAGCCGGACUACCCACGGGUAGGACCUAUGAGUUUUGGAAACAUGAUAAUCAAUAGAAAAAGUGAAUUGGACAACUUAGUAAAUGGUGACAUUUUUUUUACUUGCUUCCUGACGGACAUAGCAUAUAUUGGACUUAUUCAUGUUCCUGAUAGAGUAGCAUUCCUACUUUUACAUAUCAUACUAUGUAGUAGAAUUGUAAUGAAACAUACAUGUUUACUUAUUGUUCGUAGUUCUUUUAUAUUGCACUUAUUGCUUAUUACAUGUUUCCGUACUUACCCCCCUUUCUUGACUUUGGGCCUAGUGGAGCAUGAUACUAAAGACAGUAAUUGCCCACUGGGAACUAUAUUUUAUAGUUCUCACGUCCCUGUUUUCUGGUUUACUUUUCAGAGCCUUCGGCACCGGCGGAGGCACGGGAUCGCGACAAGGGAGUCGCGUAGGUUCGAUAGCGGGGCGGGCUUUGCUCUUAGGCGGUCUUUUCUUCCUUUUGUUUUGUUUGGGAGAGAGAGAGCUUUGUACCCUGUAUAGAGACCACCCGUGAUGUACUUAUACUCUAUUCUUUUGGGACUUUUGGGUUGUAUAACUUCAUGUUUUAUUUAGAGGAUUUGUAGCUGUUUUACCUUCUUCGUCAUAGCAUCCAGUUUACUUAUACUCUGAUACUUCUAGAUGUCUCCUUUCUAUUGCUCUACUUAUCGCUUUUAUUUAGACGCCUUAUAUGUUUUAGACAUAUGGCGGGUCUGGACACGUGCCGGGCGGGCUUCCGCUGUGACCCGGGGCGUGACAAUUGUAAUGUCCAGGUUUUGAGGGGAUUGUUGCUGGUUUGGAGGUGUUUCCAGCUAUGCUACUUGUGAUCCGAGACUGUGUUGCUGCCAGAGGAAUCGCGUUUGAGGUGGGUUUGCAUCGGAUUACUCCUAAGUAAUGAGUAGAUGUAUAGUCGACAUGUAUGUUUUGUUGUUCGGUCCACAAUGUGAUUAGAUUAAAUUUAGUGAUAAGCUGUGGCUGUAACCUGAAUUUAAGCAUGCUAAAUAAGUGACAUUUACACAUGUUGGACUUGAAAAAUUGACUUAGGAGAAAACUUGCGUUUUGACCCGUCAUAUGCUUAAACUACGAGAUUUAGCUCUAGGAGCCGUGGUUUGACUGUAUCGUUGCAGUAUCAGUGCGAUGGAUACCUGGGGUAGUUUAGAAGGCAUUUACGCUCGUGCUGGGAUGCCGAGCUUAUUUUUCAGCAGAGUCUAGACUGUUUCGGGUCGUUGGGUGCCGUCAGGGUUGGCGGUGGAUUCAGAUUCUUGUUUUGGUUCCAGAUUGUGCCGAGGGCACGUUGGUUUGGUUUGUAGACCUAUUUUGACCCUGUUUACAUGCCUUUGGCUAGUUGGAGCCUAUUUGAGAUCGACAGAGAUACGCUGCAUACUUGGUUGGGUAGCUCCCACGAGUGCCACUCCGGAGGCGGGCGUUGUGCUUUUGCGUUGGUGUCGUGCAUGCCAGUUAGACUUGCUCUCCAUGGACUGAUUAGUGUGGAGGUAGCUGGAUAGUCUCAACUGGGCGGGGCGGGUGUGUUCACACUCCCUGGGACGGGUAUGUUUACAGUUCCUAAAGAGAUUGGGUUAGGAUUGACAUUGCUACAGUAGGUCAGCAUAGAACAUGAUAGUGUAAUAAAUGGUAGCUGUAGAUUUUUAUUCCAACAUUUAUUACUACCUUUGCUCCCUUCUGUAGACUUAAUGGGUGGACCGAUAUUGUUGAGGGCUGCUGUAAUAUACCGAAAAUUUGGAGAAUAAAUAUCGAACUUUAGUCAAAUUGACCAAAGUGCGAGAAUGGUACACUUCGGAAAGUCCGAAGGUAUUAAAAUGAUCAAAAGUUAGUUAUGGGAGGUUUUCGAGAGCUAAGAAUCAAAAUUCUGCAAACUGCAGAUUUUCAGCUCUCGGGUACCGGUCCCUAGUGGGAGAGACCGGUCCCCGAACGCGUGAGAAAUGAGACAGCCAAAAAUUUGGCUAAGUCCUGAGAAACCAGCUCUCGGGAACCGGUCCCUGCCUGAGAGACCGGUCCCCGAGAGACCGGUCCCCCAAGGAGAGACCGGAUGCAUCGCGCGGGAGCCCUGGCUGCCGCAGGGGAGAGCUUCGGAAACCGGUCCCUAGUCGGGGAGACCGGUCACCGAGCCCGAAAUCUGCCCAGUCCAGGCAGUUGAAUAAGAUGAAAGUUGAGGGGUUUAUUUGCAUUUUGCAACCCAUUGAGCUAUGUAAGAAGGUAAAUAGGAAGUUUCUCCCAUUUCUCACCCUCUCACACUCUCAUCUCUCUUUCUCUCUCUAGAAGACAAGAAGGAGAAGAAGAAGAUAAAGAAAAGAAAGGAAAAGAAGAAGAAGAAAGUGGAGAAGAAGAAGAAGGAGUGAAGAAACUCCCUCUCCUUCAUCUCUAGCUUGAAGAAAGGGAAAGCUUUGAGGUAAGCUUCAACCCUAAUCAUGCUAAAACCCUAAGAUGGGAACUAUGUGACCUAGAGAUGGUUUUAAUGAAGCCUUUUGAGUCUUUGAAGCUUUCCUUUUGCUUCUUUUGAGAUCAAAACCAUGAAAUGGUGGAAAUGGGUGAAGCUUGAAGGUGAGCUUGACCCCUCCCAUGGUGAAACCCAAAUUAGGGUUUUGAUUGAGCUAGUAAUGGUUUGAAUGGACUUUUUAUAGUACCAUGAAGCUUCUUUUGCUCCUUAAUGAGAUCAAACCCUAGGUUUGAUGCAUGUAAUGGAGCUAGGGCACCCAAAUUGGGGUUUUUGCUUAUGGGGAUUUCUAAGUAAAAUUGACUCUCUAGAAACCUAAUUGGGGGUAUUUCUGACGCGUUGGUGCGCUCGGAUUUACCGCAUGUAAAGAACGAAAAGCCAAAGUAAAGUUAUGGGCAAAAUGGCCUAAUAGGGCUUCGUUUUGCCGCAGGUAAAGAACGAGAGGCCUAAAAAUCCCAAGAAAUUCGUCGGAGCACCUUUGAAAGCCUACGAGGUGGGUGGCGCUUCUCAAACUCGUUGAACUUCCCUCUAUGCCUAAUGUGUCAUUCAAUUAAGCAUAUGUUUAUACGUUGUUGCAUGCAUUUUAGGGUAAAGUAAUGAUAAUAAUGUGAUGUUGCAUGAUUGUGAGUACAACUUGCAUAAUGUGAUGGUUGAGAACCUUAUAAAUGUCAAAAACCCUAAAUGUGUGCAUGAGGUGAAAUGUGAGAACCAAAGUGAGGCAAAGGAACAGAGUGACACAUGACAUAGAUCGAGUGGCAUUUGAUAGUGCAAAGUAAAGUGACACUAGAGCUAGUGUGAGGCAAAGAAUCAAUGUGAUGUAAAGAAUAAUGCUAAUGACUAAAGUGCAAACAAGUGGGGUGUAAAGAACACGAAUGCUAGAGAUAGCCAAAAGUAAAGACAUGUAAAGAACAUGAUUGCUAGAGUUAGCAAAAGUAAGGAAAUGUAAAGAAUAAUGAUCGCUAGAGUGGCAACAUAAAGUGACGUAAAGAACACUAGAGUUAGUGUAAAGUCAAGAUUGAACAUAAAAUCCUUUGAGUUAAGGAUUCGAUCAUACUUGCUAUGAGUUCCGUGCUCGAGGGCGGUCGCUCCCCCUCGGGCAAUGCGCUUCGGAGUUAUGCAUCACGGGUUGGAGUAAACCCGAAGGACGGUCCUAGCGGGUGAGUUCCUGCGAUGAUGGACUUAAUGUGAAGCAAGUUAUUGUGGCGAAACCCCCGGAUUAGCCUUGAGAUUAAAGAACAAAGAGCAAAGAACAAAGAAUAAAGAAUAAAGAGUAAAGACAAAGAAUGAAAGAACUUGCAUAAUCUGCAUAUGUUUAAUGUUGAGCAUACUCCUUGCUUUAUUGUUCAGGCAUAUUAGCAUCAUGUAUAGAUUGGUUACUAUAUGCAACUUAUUCUUUCUAUUAUGCCUGAGUUAGUCCUAGUGGGAAAGUCGGUGAUAUUGAGGCCGAACCCACUGGAAACUUUGUUGUAGUUCUCACCCCCCCUUUUUCCACAGAGCCGGGAUCGAGCGAGCCGGCGAGCGACCGAGGUAAAGGUAUCGCGCCUUAGUCAGAGGCCACCAGAGUUGGAUUCACAUUUUGUAGUAAAGUACCCUAUGAUCAACUUUUGUACUUGAUGAUAAAUGAUGUGAAGAAAAGAAUGUAAUGUGUAUUUUGAUGAUGGAAUGAAAUGUAAGAAAUUUGAAAAUGUACAAGUGGGACUUCAUGUAUAUGAUCUAAAUUGAAUCAUAGUUCAAAAUGAAUGCUAGUUUUCCUUUCUUUCACUCGUGGCUAUUGCUUACCCUCGUGUAAGCCGUAUUUGUAUGUUUCCGCUAGUGCACUUCAUGUUUGAAAAUGUACAUGUGAUGAGCCUUGGGCGGACAGGGGAGACUCUGUCCGUUCGGCGUCUGUUUGACAUGCUCGGGCCGGCCCAAAUUGGUAUCGGUCCCGGGGCGUGACAGCGGCACCCACUGAGGACUACCUGUUUUUACAGUAGUUCUCACACCCUAUUAUUACCCCAUGUUUUUGCAGAGCCCCCGUCGUCGGCUGCUGCUGUCGCAGAUCAGUAUAGAGGCAAGCGCGUCACGAGUUAGAGCCCUACCAGACGUGCCGAGCUAGAGGUACCCCUACUGCAAGUAGAUGUUUUGUUUUGAGUUUAUGUACAUAGUAUACUUAACUCGCCAGUGCGAGUAGCUCUGUAUUUUUGGUAUUAGACUAUAUAUAUGGAACUCCGUUUGUUUAGCUUCUGUUUACUCUAGCAGCUCUAUACUACUGUUUGUAGUAUUGUAUGGUUUACAGGUAGAGCUGUCGCUUCGUAUACAGGAAAAAUUUCUUUGUAUACGGCGGAUUUGUCGGCGUGCCCGGGGAACGUGUAAUCCGGGGCGUGACAGAUAUCUUUCUCAAGAACACCUUUCCUCCCAUUGUUUCGCAUGCACACCGCAAGACUCGUCACCCACUCGGUAUGUUAUCUCAUUUAAGGUUGACUUCCUGCUCAUAGUUACUGCUGCUUAUCUAUUUUUCAUUUGUAGUCCCCUUUCCAAGCAAAACCCAAUCGGAAAGCCCUGCUGAGCCAUCUAUAUCAGAAGAGAAAUCGAAAGAGGCUGCUGAAUCUUCGCCUCCUUCCUCUGUAAUGUCGCCUAUUCUUCUCUUGAUCCUUCCUAUUUUGAUGUUUGUAAUACUUACGUUUCUUUCACUUUCAUCUGCAGUCAAUUCCCACUUCUUCAUCGGUCCCAGCGUCAGACAAAAGACCAAUUGAAACUGUACAAACUACUCCUCCGCCGUCUUCAAAACGGCGUAAAUCAGUUGCUAAACGGCAAUUUCGACAAGCCGAAGAUGCUCCUUCGGCUGACAUUUUAAAGGACAGGGCCGAAGAUACACCUUCGGCUUCAAUCCCAGAAAUAAGAGCCGAAGAUAUGCCUCCAGCUGGUGUUCCAUCAGAAGAAUCAAAUGCUCAUUCGGCUGACAUUUUAAAGGACAGGGCCGAAGAUACACCUUCGGCUUCAAUCCCAGAAAAUAAGAGCCGAAGAUAUGCCUCCGGCUGGUGUUCCAUCAGAAGAAACAAAUGCACCUACUUCGGCUACAGAACAAAGCCCUAUCCCGAUCGAACCGAUUGAGAUCGAGGUAAGCCAAGUUAUUUGUCUGUACCCAAUUUUUUCUAUUUCUUCAUUUAUUUAUCAUUAUCUUUUAACUCACAGUCCUCUCCUGAAAGAGUCAUUUUUCCUCAUUCUUCAAAGAUGCAGAUGGACAGACAGCUUCGCAGGGAAGCUCGUCUUGAAAAGAAACGAGGUAUAGAGAAAAAGAAAAAAUCCGUUGCUGAAGCGAGCACGACGCCAUUACCAAGUGAAGCUACAUCACCUCUUUCUACCCCAAUACCAAUUACAGGGGAUGAAAAAGCAAAUGUACCUUUCGAGCAAGGUUCUGAAGAAACAAGCACCAUACCUCCUCAUCCGACUUAUGAGGCUCUUCCUUCUGCUCUUGAGGAUCCUCUAUCUGCCACUCUUCAUUCUCUACUGGUUUCGAGUUCUAGUUCCAAUGAGGGAGAUGAUUCUUCGACCACUAUCGCAUCAUUAGACACUCAAUGCAAAUUUGAUGAGUGUCUUAAAAUAUAUAGUAAAAGUCUCCCUUGUUUAAAUCAAAAUCUAGAAUUAUUUGAUUGGUUAUAUACUCUUUUACUUGCUCUGGCCGAUCAAUCAGAUAUCGCCCCUAGUAUCAAAUGUUUUGUAGAGACUCUGUCGUCUCAGCUGUCUUCUUUCUUAUCUCGGCAACAAUGCUUAGGAGCCGAGCUUUUAACUACGGAUCAACAUUUUCAUCGAGUUGAUCACUAUAAGAACAUUAUUCCUGAGGUAGCAGCCCCUAUUACUGAAGUGAAUCAGGAAGAUCAGGCUUUGGCCAAUCAAGAAUCGGCUCUACAACAGAAAAUUUCAACUCUUAAAGAAGAGUUAGCAGCAGCCGAAUCAACUUUAGCCCAAACCUCUGAGCGCAGACUUCAAUUGCAGAACCAGUUAAAGUCUAAAAGAGCAGAAGGGACGAAAAUUCAAGAAGAGCUUUCUCAACUCUACAAGGUGCAUCCCUUGAUGAAGCGCCGAAGAAAAGCUGCCGAAGCUGGUCAAGCCAACCUUAUAGCCGAAUGGAACCAACUCAGAGAUUUAUUAUCUUGAUUCAGCUUGUGAUAUUCUAAUUUUGAUCUUAUUUUUUCUCCCACAUGGAUAGAUAAUACUUCUUUAAAUACUUUCCGUUGAUUGGUUUUUCACUUUCUGACCCAUCUCUGUUUUUCAAGUAAUAUGCAUUUUCUUUUGUAAUUCGACUGACUUGAAAUGGCCCUUUCCAAUUUGGGGACCAUUUUCCAUACGUUCGGUCUUUUUGACCGAUUGGAAAAACUAGUCGAAGGACCAAAUCACCGACCGCAAAUGCCUUAGAUCUAACUUUCUUAUUGUAUGCGCUACCCACUCGGCUCUGAUAUGUUUGUAUAUUAUCCAGAGCCAUCAACCGAGUGUCACAUAUUUCUUCUACUUUUUCUUUCAUCAAAUUACUGUAUUCAUCAGCCGACAGUUCUCUUUGCUUUUCUAUUCUUAAAGAAGGAACUGUUAUCUUGGUUGGAAUUACGGCCUCAUGGCCGUAUACUAAUUGGAACGGCGUCAUCCCUGUUGCCGUUUUUACUGAAGUUCGACAUGCCCAUAAUACUUCGAAAAGCUUUUCGUUCUAUUUCCUCGGGUGCUUUCCGAUAUGCUGUUUCAUGAGAUUAAUAAUUAUUUUAUUUGCUGCUUCUACUUGUCCAUUCGCUUGAGCAUAAUAAGGAGAAGAAUGGAGUAACCUUAUCUUCCGAGAUUCGAUGAACCGAACAAACUGUCCAUCCGUGAACAUUGUCCCUUGAUCGGUCGUAAUUGUCUCGGGAAUCCCAAAGCGAUGAAUUAUAUGAUCUUCAACAAAAUCGAUAAUUUCUUUCUGAGUAACCAAACCGAGCAGGUUUUACUUCCACCAACUUAGUAAAGAAAUCAAUGGCCACUAUUAAAAACUUAUGACCAGCCGAGAAAUUCGGAUGGAUUUCUCCAAUUAAAUCUAUAGCCCAACCUCGAAAAGGCCAUGGUUUAAUUAUGGCAUACAUCUCAGAGGUAGGUACCCUCUGUAUUGAGCCAUGAAAUUGACAAUUCUGGCAACCCUUAGCAUAUUCUAUGCAAACUUGAUGCAUAGUCGGCCAAUAAUAUCCUAAGUGCCGAAUCGUCCAUCUUAGCUUUUUUCCUGCUAAAUGGGUUCCACAUAUUCCCUUAUGUGUUUCUCUCUUUACCAGUAAAGCUUCUUCGGGCCCUAAGCACUUCAAUAUAAUUUCUUCGGCUGUUCUCUUGUAAAGUUGUCCGUCUAACAGACAAUAGCCGAGAGCUCUCCUUCGAAUAUUAUAGUCGACCCCUUUAUUAGGAUCUUCCAAAUAUUUGAUUAAAGAUUUUCUCCAAUCCUUUUUUAUCUUUACGGGAGCUAUGAUCGGUUCUCGUAUAUGAACCGAAGGUAACAGCCUUCUUUGUAUUACUAUUGAUUCUGACUUCGACUCUCUAUAUCCUGAAGUCGACUAGGCUAGUUCAUUUGCCUUUUCAUUUUUCUGUCUGCCCAGAUGUUCAAAUUUAGCUUCUCCGAAAUUGCACAGUAAUUCUACUGUCUUCCUUAAAUAAUUUUGCAAAUUCGGAUUUUCAUAUCGGUAUUCUCCAUUAACUUGUUUGAUUACGAGCCGCGAGUCACCGAUGACUUUGAUUGACUUUGCUUUCAAUUCUUGCAAAAUUUCAAGGCCGAUUAUCAAGGCUUCGUAUUCGGCUUGGUUGUUGGAACAGCCGGAAUCUAAUUCAAACGCGAAUUGGCAAAUGUAUCCCUCAGGGGAUUGUAUAACUAUUCCUGCUCCUGCGGAUUCGGUUGUUUUUGAACCAUCAAAAUAAAGUACCCAAGGUUGACAAUCGAUAAAAUUUUAUUUCGGCUCCUCAAUCUCCACACAUGGAUGAUCGGCCAAAAAAUCGGCUAUAGCUUGGCCUUUGACAGCUUUUGCAGGAACAUAAUUAAGGGAGAACUCGGAUAAUGCUAACACCCAUUUUCCGAUUCGUCCCCAUAGCACUGGCUUAGAUAACAUGUAUUUUAUCAGAUCGGUUUUACAUAUUAUCGAUACUUCGGUUGGUAAAAUAUAGUAUCUCAAUUUUGUGCAUGAAUAGUAUAAAGCCAGACAUAAUUUUUCAAUGGCCGAAUAUCAUUUCUCAGUAUCUAAAAGACGUCGGCUUAGAUAAUAAAUGACUUGUUCUUCUUUUUCUUCUUUUUCUUGGGCCAGUAAGCGUCCCAAAUUUCCUUCUGCAGCCGAUAUGUAUAAUUUCAUCGGCUGAUUUGGCUUUGGAGGCACCAAUAUCGAAGGGUUUGAUAAAUAUCUUUUUAUAUUUUCAAACGCCCCUUGCUGCUCCUCUGUCCAAACGAACUUUUCUUUAUUUUUUAGCCGAAGUAGUAGGGUAAAAGCCCCUACUCUUCCGGCCAAGUUGGAUAUGAACCGUCGAAGAUAAUUGAUCUUCCCCAACAAGCUUUGUAAUUCUUUUUAUUCGACAAGCUCUGCCUUAAAGGAUUGAGGCAGGGCAUAUACCAUAUUCACCUCGGUUGGUGACUAAUCAGUCGAUUUACCUUUAAUCUUUUGUUUCUUCUCCUCUAACUCUUUGGCCGUCUCGGCUGAAGAGUCUCUUUCCACACGGACCUCCCUUUCCUUGGGGGGCCAUCGUUCUCUCUUGAUAAUCGUUUCAAGGGAGGCUAUUUUAUCUUCUAACUCCCUCCUGGUCAUUUUUUCUUCCGUCUCGGCCUCGGUUGGCCGUUCUACCUUUGACUUCAUCCAAGGGACAGGCGAUGAUGUAACACACUGGACCUUUGCAAAUUGCGAGGUUUGAGUGUUGGUUGUGUGCCGAGCGUUUCCACAUGUUGUGGAGGGUCGUAGACAGUGAUCCGACCCAUGGUUCGAGUCCCGAGAAUUAUGGUUUAAAACCUUGCACCAAAAUCCAAAAAGUUGAAUUUUUGGUCAGCUCUCGGGUAGCCUUGAGCAGGCAGUGUACCGGUACGGGCCUGAUGGCUAUACCGGUACGCGGUGAUGGCUGUACCGGUACGCGGGCCGUGUACCGGUACACAGACAGCUUCUGGCCAAACCCGAGGCUCGGGUUUGGGUUUUCGUGGGCUGUGUACCGGUACACAAUCCCGUGUACCGGUACACCGUGCAGACUAGGCUGCUGUUCGGGCAGGGAGGUGUUUGUAAUUGUUACAACACCUAUAUAUGCCACCCCAGCCCCUUUAAGAGCUCUUUUGAGCCCUAGAUCAGAGGAGAGCAAGGUGAGUCUUCCUCCCUUUGUUUUGAUUUCCAUUUUUGAGGGGAUUUGGCUAGGCUUUGAUCUCCUCCUCCUUACUUUUCUUGCUUUUUGUUGGGUUUCCUCCGUGAGAGAAGCCUUGAGCUCGGGAUUGGAGCUUUGUAGAAGGAAGAUCUUGGUACCUUGUGGACUUGAGCUUGGAUAGAAGCUUCUAAGAGGUUUGUGACUAGUUCUCUCCUCUAGAUUCGGGUCUUGAUGGAUUUUGCUAGAUGAAACCCUAGAUUUUAGGUUUUAGGGUUAAAUUUGGAGAUUUUUGUUUUGAGGGCUUUGGAACCCAAUUGAUGGGUUUAGAAUCUUCUUUUAGGUGGGAUUGGAAGGAUUCUAGCUCUUCUUGGAAGCUUGUUUAGGGAUUUCUUCACAAGAGGUGAGUUUUGACCCUUUUUGCUAGAUGGUUAAUGAUUGAGCUUUUGGCUCUUCGUUUCGUUCGGGUAAUCCUACUUUUGAUGCUUCUAGGGUACUAGGAAGCUCGUGGAUCACUUUGUUCGGCUAAACGAAGAAGUCGAUUUUGGUGGGUUUGGCUUUGUGGAAAUGGGGCAAAAUGGCCCCUAUGCUCUUAAUACUUGUCGUAAAGUAUUUUUGAAUGCAUCUCUAUAUUAAAUAGAAUUUAUAUAAAUUUUAGAACACUUAAAAUGCAUGUGCUAUGUAGCAUGAAAAUUGUACUCUUUAUAGUAGAGCUAAUUGUGUAGGCAGCAUGCAUACGAUAAAGUGUUUGUUUGUGCAAGUUGAGAACAUAUCUCUUAGGAAGAAUAUGACUUGGAACAUAUACCUUGGAACAUAGUUGCCAUGCUUGACAUAGAGAACAAAAGUGUCAUCAAGGGGCACUGGAAACUAGUAAACUAUGAAAUUGCAACAUAGAGACAUAUUGAUAGGCUAAUACAUAUCUGCUAUAUUCCAUAUUAGAGACAUGACGACAUAGAGAUAGGCCAUGGGGACAUUCGAUAUAUUCCAUGUUUUAGACAUGAUGACUUGAGACUUGAGACGGAUCAUUGCUUGCUUGCCAUUUGUGCUCAUUCGCACAUGCUUGUGAGGGUCGCUCCCUACAAGCCGGCACUCCGGAGAUAGCCAUCGCGACAUAUGCUCGCCCGUGCGGGAUUGGGCGCCGAAGUGGAUUGCCGUGGGGGAGGCUCAUUCCUAGAGUGGGGAUGUUGACUACCACGGGGCCAUUAGGCACGGCGCAGGCCAGACAGCCUUCGGGUGGGUCUUAUAUGAUUGGAACAUAGUGACAGUAUAUGCCAUAUGAACUUUAAAACUAUUAAAGUGACACGUGGACUUGGACUAGAAUAGUGAACAAUGACAUCUUUACUAUUUUUGCAUUGAGGACAUCGGAUUGGUUGCAUUUCUAUGCUUAUGCAUGUCAUACAUAUCCAGGUACAUCCAUGAUAUAAUUGCUUUAUUACUUAUGCCAAUCAUGCUAAGUAGAGACUUCAUGUUAUAGUAAGCUACACUUUUACUUACAUUUUGCUUUACUGUUUUAUAGUCACUGACCUCUUUUUGUAGCUUUUGGGUCUUGUGGCGCAGUUCACUGAAGUCAGUAAUUGCCCACUGAGAACUAUUAUUUAAUAGUUCUCACGCCCUCUGUUUCAUGUUUUUCUUUCAGAGCCCUCUGCACCGGCGGAGGCACGGGAUCGCGGCAAGGGGAUCGCUAGCUAGACAGCGAGGAUUUACUUUCACUCUUAGGUGGUUUCCCCUCUUUUAUGUUUUGGGAGAGAGAUAUUUUGUUUACCAUGUAUAGAGACCACCUAUGUACUCUUUUAGUUCUUGUAAUUGGAUUUGUGGUUGUCCUACUUUAUGGUUUUAUUAGUGAUUUUAGCCUGCUACUCUUCACUUUGCUUUAGUUUCUAGAUGUUGUAUAUUACUCUGAUACUCCUAGUUAUUUUCUUUUAUUGUCUCUUUUAUCGCUUUGGUUUUAGACGCCUUAUAUGUUUUAGACGUAUGGCGGGUCUGGACACGCGUCGGGCGGGCUUCCGCUGGGUCUCGGGGCGUGACAAAUGAGCCGCCUACCUCGUGGUCAUUUCGCAUUGGGAGAAAGGGGUGUGACUGCUCAUUCGGACGCCUCCAUACGUUAAGCCUUAUCCCUUUCGCUUCUUCACAGUGUUGUCUUGCCUCGACUUGCAUCCUCUGCUGCCGAUGUUUUUGGGUUUUUGUUAGCAUCGGCCCCUGCCACCUGGCCGAUGGUUUGACUUCAACUUCGUGCCAUUCAUCCACUGGCACAUUUGCCGGUCCUUUUACCGUUCUCAAAUGAUUUUUCAAAAUUUCUCUUCUCUCCCAAGGCCUCGGCCAAGGCUGAAUGCCGAGCUCAUUCACUAGUCUCCGACCCAAGAACUCAAUGUCUCCUUCGGUCAGUCCAUCAAAUUCGGGUUCUGGUCUCGGCCUGGCUUGAUGUUGCCAGUGCGGCCGAUAUCCAGGGAACCUUUGCUUAGAGCCGAAUGGCCUAUCCUGAUAGCCCCAUCGGCCUUGACGCUCGCCACGUCUGUUGUUGUAAUAAUCAUGCAGAAUUUUCUGCAUCAACACGUCUUGCUUGCGUUGAACCGAGUCGACUUCCGGUUCAGUCUCGUUGGAGGCUUCGUCUGAGCCGUCCUCUUCUUGAUCAUCUCCUUUCGGGAUAUGCUCCCACUCCUCAAGGAAUGCCAUCAAUUCAUUCCACUCGUUGCUUCUCUUCUUAUCGUUGAUUAUGGCUUCCCAAUCUUUUUUUGUCAUUUCGGCUUUGCACCUUAUGCAAAACCGAAGAUUUCUUUUCGCAUGGGCGAUGUCGUCCAUGGUCAUUCUGGCCGCAAUCGCCUUUCCUCUAGCGUCCAUCGCUUUGUCCUGUAAAGAAAGCAUAUUUUUAUCAACUUCUUUACUUUUAACUUGCUGGUCGGCUAAAAUGAGCCAACCCUCUUCUAUUUCUUCUUGAAUUCGCCUGUUGGCGGUAGCCUUUCCUUUUCCCCUCAUGUUCACCACGUUAACUUGUGGUGGAAAAGGGUUCUUAUCAAUUUCCAUAUUUUUACUUUCUUGGUCGGCAAAAAUAAGCCGACCUUCAUUAAUUUCUUUUUGUAUCUGCCUCUUGAAGGCAGUGCAUUCGCUAGUUUUAUGGCUCCACGAGUGGUGCCACUUGCAAUAUCUUCUACGUUUUAAUUCUUCCACAGGGGGCAUAGUUUGGUCCUCCUGUAGUUUAAUUCGUCCAUCCCUUAGCAACCUAUCAAAAAUAAGAUCGGUCUUUGAUAUAUCGAACGAAUAGUUAAAUGCAGACACAUGUGCCUUAGCCUCGCUUGAUCUGGCGGGCUUUAACAAAGCACAUUUUUACGGUUGACUGUUUCUCACCAUCUCGGCAGCACAGAUUUCGGCAUCAUCAGCCAAAUCUUUUGCCUCUUCAGAUGAAUUCGGUUCUUCAUGAGCCGAAGACCCUUCAAAGAAGGAAAUAUUUUUCUCCUUCCCUUUGUUCCAGUCUUUAUUUCGGCUCCAUCUAGGCCGAUCCUCAUUAUUCCCUUUUCGAAACUGCUCGUAUUGAGCAACUCGAAGUCCCAAAUCAAAAAGAUUUGGAAAGAAUUUAUCCUCAAAAUGAUCUUUAAUUUUAAAAUGCAUGCCGUUGAAUGCCAUUUUAGCAAAUUCCGAUUCCGGCAUUCUUAUGAAACAACGGCUUCGAGCUGUUUUGAAUCGGUUCAAAUAUUCAUCAACGAUUCUCCUGUUCUUUGUCUGAAUUGAGCCAAAUCCGCAACUGAUAAUUUUGGCUCUAUUCUAUAAAACUGUUCAUGGAAUUUACUCUCUAAUUCGUUCCAGUCUCGGACGGAAUUAGCUGGUAAACUUGUGUACCAAGUGAAAGCCGUCUUGAUUAAUGAGGUAUUAAAUAACCUCAACUUUAAAAACGGAUCUGCAGCAGCCUCACAGCAUUGAGCUGUAAACCGCGCGACGUGCUUGACCGUAUUUUCGGUCUCGUCGCCGUAAAACUUGUCAAACUUCGGCAUCUUCCAAUUUGCUGGAUAUGGGUGUUCUGCAUCUAUAUUUGCAGGAUAUGGUGAUCUGAAUACGGGCCGCAUUGCCGGCCUUGCGCCUACUCCGAAGGUAUUCCGGAUGGCUUCCUCUAUCUGCGCAUAAAUCUCCUUAUUAAUCUCCUGUAAAGGGACUUGCGCUGGUGCUGAGUUCGGUGGUUGUGGUACACCGAGAUUUUGUACCAAGGGAUUAACCCCUUGUGCCAUUGGAGCCUGCCCCCUAGCCCCUACAUUUUGGGGCUGAUACGCUGCUACUGGUGGAGGCGGAGAUAACCCCCAAGCUACUUCUGGCUGUUGACCGACAUUAACGACAACCGGUCUAUAAGCUGCUUGAUAUGAUGUGUCACGCCCCGCCCCGAAACCACUACCAGUUUGGCGCGAUUCGGCCGCGGCGACAGACCGCCGAACGGACAGCACCUCCCCUGCCCGCCCAAGGCUCAACCACAAGAAUGUGUACAAGAAUUUACCCAGGACUUUAAAUUCUAAAACAACACAUUCAACACGGGCACGAACAGUGCCGACGACAAGAAGAGCAAGAAGUCCACAAGAUAUACAAGUGAAAUAAAGAGAGUACUUUACUAACUAUUACAAUAGUUACAUUCAUUACAUCAUUUUUCAUCCAAAAUACAUAGCUCUCCAAAUCCUCACCCACAAUGCAUCUCUCUCUAUACAUAGGUGACUAAUGCAAAAAGGAAAGCUACUAUACUACCACGGUCUCACUGGUCGGGCGCGACGCACUUGCCGCGGUCCUCUCUCUGCAGCCCUGAACCUACCACUGGAAAUAGAGUGGGGUGAGAACUAUCUUCCAUAGUUCCCAGUGGGCUCGGCCGCCGACUCUGCCGAUCUCCCCACUAGGUCCAAGUGGGCACAAGUAACAACGGAUAGAUAGAUAGAUAUGUAUCUGAAAACUGUAAAUGCGAUAGUAGGAAAAACUAUGCUACUAUGCCCAUAAUCAUGAAUAUGAAUGCAUGCAUCAUAUAAUAAAGGUUUGCUACUAUGCUAACAAAUUCGAUCCAUGUUCGAAUAGUAAUGUUCACUGACAUUUAUAAACCUUUAACAUUUUUCAUUUACCCAAUCUGUGGCGAGGCCCUAGGGCUCGCCCAUGACUCACCUUUCAAUCCCAAAAUGGGGAGGGGGCUCCAAGUGCACCCAACUCCGGGACCGUCUGCGGACCUCCAUGUUGUCCGGACCUCCAAGUGGUCCUAGUCGCGCGACACUCCGGAGUACUCGACGACAAUCCCCUCCAUGUGGGGAUUGGAUGGCUAUACCAUCCUAAACGCAGACUAUGAGCUAGAUCUAUCCUCUCCAAGUGAGGACACUCUACAACUAGAGUCAAUACCCAAUCGAAUCCUCUCCAAGUGAGGAUGCUCUACAACUAGAGUCAAUGUCUCAAUAACUCAUCAACAACCUCUCCAUGUGAGGGUACUUAGGUUUACUAAGUUCUUUAUCCACAAGGCAUUUUCUAAGGGAUCCACCUAUCCCUGGAUCCACCGACCUCUAGUGUUAUUUACACUACAUUAAUGCCACUCGUUAUCAUUCAAUGUUUGGAUGCCACUCGUUUGUUCUUUAACAAUAACAUUACUUUCUAUGUCAUCAAUCCCCCAUCGGGUUCAUCUCUAUCUCUAGCAUCAUAGGAUCCACGUUCCGACCCAAUCCUCACCUAUCUAGUUACCAAGCGUUCCAAGUACACUAGGUUAUCAUUUAGAAAGCGCGAGGAAUGGUACUACUAUGCAAUCCUACAAUGCAAUAUGAAGAGAUGAGGUUAAAAUGCAAUCUAAGACAUAGAAAGGAGUUCGAAAGUUUCGGAUGACACCCCCCACCUUUUUUAUCGAUGUAGAGGCUUUGGAAAUUCUUCUCGGCGAGCUUCGCAAAAAGGCUUUAGCCUUCCUCGCCCGAAUCAACACUAGCCCGGCCCGAUUUUGCCGAGAACUUCACGUCGGUUCGCCGAAUGCCAAAAUCGACUUCGCCCCCUCAUGAGCAAAAGCCCCAAUUUUGUGCCCUAGCUCCAAUACAUAUAUCAAACCUAGGGUUUGAUCUCAUUGAGAAGCAAAAGUAGCUUCAAUAUACUCUAAAGAGUUCAUCUAAACCAUUCCUAGCUCAUUCCAAACCCUAGUUUGGAUUUCACCAUGAGAGGGGUCAAGCUCUCCUUCAAGCUUUACCUCCAACACCUAACCCAUGGUCUUGAUCUCAAAAGAAGCAAAAAGAAAGCUUCAAGGACUUUAAAUACUCCAUUAAAACAAUCUCUAGGUUAAUCCAAACCCUAGUUUGGAAUUUAGCAUGAGAAGGGGCAAAGCUUACCUCUAAACUUGCUCCUUUUCCAAGCUAGAGAAGGAGAGGAGAUGUUUUCUUCACUUCCUCUUCUUCUUCUCCUUUUUCUUCUCCUUCUUUUCCUUCCUUUCCUUGUCUUCUUCUUCUCCUUCUUUGUCUUCUAGAGAGAGAAAGAGAGGAGAGAGUGUGAGAGGGAGUGGAAUGAGAGAAAAGCCCUCAUGUCCCUCCUACAUAAUCAUUGGGCUGCAAAAAUGCUAAUAAACCCCUCAACUUUCACUCUUUCACACAGCCUGGACUGGGCUGUUCGCGCAGGCGGGGACCGAUCUCUCCUUCAGGGACCGGUUCCGGAACGUCGUCCCAGCGCAGCCAGAGCUGCUGCGCGCAGUGCAACCGGUCUCUCCUUGGGGGACCGGUCUCUCAGGCAGGGACCGAUUCCCGAGAGCUAAUUUCUCAGGAUUUAGCCGAUUUUUCGGCUGUCUCAUAUCAUACGUGUUCGGGGACUGGUCUCUCCCACCAGGGACCGGUCCCCGAGAGCUCAAAAUCUGCAGUUUUGCAGAUUUGAUUUCAUAGCUCUCGAAAACCUCCCGUAACUCACUUUUACUCAUUUUAACNUCAGAACCCGAUUCCGUCAGUGCCAUAGGGUCCAGGAUAGUCGAGCGGUUGAAAACGAGCUAUUGGAAGGCUAUAAUCGGAGUCCGAUACGCGUCGAAAGUCCACUCUACUCCGCGGCCUCUCCGGAAAAUCGGAGUUACUAUUCACUUAAGUCGAACUUCCGGGUCGCGUAACUUCUCCGUUUUAUCUCGUUUUCUCCUGAAAUUUGACGAGUACACUUAUAAUUAUAUUACACACAAGAACAUCGUCAAACAAAAGGGUUUAAUCAAUAAAUGAAAUAUCUCAGUUAUUACAGAAGCACAACCCACCUAUUAUCGCAUUAUGUUGCUUGUAGUCACUUGCAAUCGGCCUCCCGCAAUAUUCGUUGUCAGGCUUGGCCCGAUCUUGCAAAUGACCACCAACCGUGCGUCAAUUCGCGACCUCGGGUUUUAAAGGUAUAUAACUUGAUGCCGCGAUGCUAGGAAUCUGUUUUCGUGAUUUUUAGACGCUGCCUUGGCCUUCCAGGUAGAAAUGAAGCCGAAAACGUCCUUUUCGCCAAUAUCUUUACGUAGGCUCGACGAAUCGUUGACCCGACUUCGCCAACGCAUCAGAAAACCUAGCAAUUAGGUUUACAUAGGUUCAAUUUAGAUCAAACUUCAUUAUUUCACAAAACCCCAUUUUUGGAGCCCUAGAUGCAACUAUUGCAAAAAUCAUCAUACAAUCCCCAUGAUUCAAGCAAUAAUCUUCUAUUUAGCAUCCUAGGAUUCUACUAAAUCCAUUUCUAAAGUAUACAAACAAAGCCCUAGAAAUCUACCAUUAGAAGGCAUCAAGCUUACCUCAAAAGCUUGCUCCAAGUCAAGGAAGAAGAUGAAGUCCUUCUUCCUAGCUUCAUUCUCCUUCUAUCCUUCUCAUCCUUCCCACUUUGAAGAGAGAGAGAAAGAGAGUUUAGAGAGAGAGAGGGAGAGCUAUUUAGGGUUCUAGGUUGAGAGAAAUGAGAGAAAGGAGAGAGACAACCCUCUCUUUUAAUUCCCAUUCAGCACAUUUGCUGAAAACACCCUCAACAAUCAGCUUUAUGCACAGCCCACUGGGCUGUUUUCGAGCUCGGGGACUGGUCCUUGGCUAGAGGGACUGGACCCCGUAGGUCCAAAAUUCCAGCAUUUUUAGAACUUAGCCAAAUUUUCAGCAUUUUCAGCCUUUGGUCUAUUUUCGCUUGUUUUCGCUCGUAGAGCCUCCGAUUCAUCUCUAAUCGUACCGAGACCCCCAAUGCAUAUUUUCGAGCGCGUUUAAACCAUCUUUUCAUCCACGCCUUGCCGGAUUUCAGCCAAGGUCCAAUCAUAGCUUUUCGGGUUUCGUUUUCGCGCCCGACGCGUACCAAAAAUACCUGAAUGCUCCCGAACUUCGCCUAAACCAUUCUAAUGGCUCUCCAAACUAACAUACACCGUAACUUCAUAAUUAUAGAAGUUCAAUAUGUUACAGAUAGAUUCCAUAUAUAUGCACAUCCUAUUCCUACAAUGAACCAACUGGGUCAACAUGCACCGCAAGGACCCGAAUGGCUAGAAACCAAGUGUAUUACAGUCAAACUACAGUAACCUCAUUAUGAAUAGCUGAGUCACCGCAGGUCAAAGGACCACUCACACUCCUAUAACAUUGAGUAAGUCACUGACGAGUGAGUACACAUCCAAGUGACUUUUUGUAACAUACCAGAUUUUGGUAUAAAAAAAUAAAAAAAUAAAAAUAAUAUGAGAAACUAUUUUUAUUGGAUUUAGAGGAGUAAAAUAUAAGUCAGAAGUGACUUGUACUGAAAUCGGAAUGAAAACAGAAGAUUUAGAAUUUUCUGUUGGAAACAGAACAGGUAAAUUUGCAGAAAAUGUACAGUGUCAGAAAAUUAUAAAAACUGGAGGAUAAGUCAGAAUUAUUUUUAUGAGGCUAGAUUUAAAGUUUCAUAUCAUUCUGACACCCGGAAGGUGAAAAAUAAAAUCCGACAACUAUCUGAUAAAGAUUACAGUUCGGUACAGUUUUCGGUGACCAAACGGGGUCAAAACUGAAAUAUUAAAAUUUUUUUGGACUCGUUAAGUAAAACCGAACAUGACUGUCAAAUUUGAGCUCAAACAAAUAUUCAGGGAGCCCCGGCGAAAGAUAUCAGAUUUCGAGCUGCCCAAAGGUGAAUAGUGUUGAGGGGCCAUUAGUGUAAUAGAGGCUUUUUCUUCUCCCUCAGCCCGAGCAGCACAUACGACACACACACACACACACACACACACACACACACACACACACACACGCAUGGAGAGGGGGGGAGAAACCCUCCUUUCUCUCUCUAAAGAUCUCUCUCAUCUCUCUAUUUCUCUCGCUCAAAUUCGCGGCGUUGGCGGAGAGCGAGUUUGCAAACGCGUUGGAGGCGACGGAUCGAGCUUUCGUGCACCCGUUGGAGCGGCGUGUUUUCGUCGCAGCGUUCACGUUUUGGUAAGAGUUUGGAAUUUUGUUUAAAUCCUUCAUGAAUGAUGUUCUAGUAGUAUCUAGAGUGUUCUAAACAUGUUUUCUCCAUUUAAUUUGGAUUAUUUGGAAGUUAAUUGCAUGUUACGGCUCCGAAUGGGGUUUUGUAAAAUAUAAGGGUGUGAUCUAAUUUGACCCUCCGUAAAUCUAAUUGCUAGGUAAAUGAACGCGUUGGCGAAGUCGGUUCGGCGAUUCGUCGAGCCGUUGUAAAGAUAUUAAAGAAACGGACGUUUAAGCUUCGUUUCCGCCUGGAGGGCGGAGGCGACAUCGUAAAGUCAUGAAAACGGAUUUGGAGCACCGUGGCACAUAACCGAAGACCUAUAAUUUUCGGUGCCGCAAUUCGACGCACGGUUGGUGAGUAUUAGCAAAAUCGGGCCGAACCGGACACGGGUGCCGCGGGAGGCCGAUUGCAAGUGUCGACAAGCAAUCGGAAAGCGAUUUGAGGUGAGUUGUGUUUACCGAAGCGACUAGGUCGCCUGUAUGUCUAAGAUAAGUGGUAAUCCUUGAUGCAUAUUAUGGUAGCUAGUGGUAGAAUGUAUAAAUGCAUGAAAUGAAUGCUUUGUUAGGCUACCAAAUAAUGCAUAUGGUCAUAAUGUGAGAAUACUAAGUAAUGCCUAAUGACAUAGUGUAAAUAAUGCUAAGUGGAAAGCAUAAAGUAAAUGACAUAUGUUGGUCAUGUUGCAUGUAUAGAAAUGCUAAAAUAAGAACGCUAAGUGGAUGCAUAUAGUAAAUGCUAAAGGGAAUGCAUGCUAAAGAUGUAAUAUAGAAAUGCUGGAAUGCAUGAUGAUGUAAUAUAAAUGAAUGCUAGUUUGGAUAAGCAUGUCAUAUAAAUGCUAGAUAAUGCAUGUUAAUUAUCUAAAGUAAGAUGCUAAGAGAUUGUACAUGAAGUGACAUAAUGCAAGAAUGCUAAAUAAAUGCAUGAAUGAUGUGGUAUAGAAAUGCUAGAAUAUAUGCAUUGGUUAUUGUUAGUUGAAUGCAUGUCAUGGAAAUGCUAAAUGUAAACAUGGGGCCAAUACUAAGAUAUACUUGAUGAUCAUGUUGUAGAGAUACUAAUGUUAAGUAAAGGAUAUGGGCAUGUGGACAUAUAUAUAUGCACAUAGAUCGAGUGGCAUUAAACCUAGUGUCUUAAACAUAGGUUGAACAUGAAUGAUAUGAACCUAGAGUUAGUAAACCUAGGUCGGACAUGAAGGAUAUAUGAACCUAGUGUGAAUAUACAUAGGUUGAACAUGAAUGAUAUGAACCUAGUGUUAAAGAACAUAGGUUGGAAUCAUGUGUGGUAUUUAAUCUAGCGUUAAAGAACAUAGGUUGGACAUGAACCUAGUGUUAAAGAAAGUAGUUAAAUAAGGUUUAACCCAAAGUGACAUUGUGGCUUGGUAUUAGCAGUAUAUGCAUGAUUAGGUAAAGACCUAUCAUUGGCAUUGAGGCAAAGAGAUAUGGAACAGAUUGGCUAUACCUCCUCAAAUUGAGGAUGGGAUCGUACUCACAUGUAUCGGUUCCGGCUUGUGCGAGGUCGCUCCUCUACAGGCGGUGUACUCCGGAGUAUAGACGCCACGGGUGAGAGUGCCCGGCGAAGAUCUCUCGGGUGACAGUGCCUUGUGCCUUCCCCGGUAGACGGGAUGGAUCCUUCGGGGGUAUUUCCCAAUGCUAAUCCUGGUAGAUGGAACAUGUGAGAUGUGAGCUUGGGGCGAACUUGAUGAACCUCGAAAAGAUUGGGUAAAGGCCAAAGUGAAUGUGUGAAAGUAUGCAUUAUGAGCUAUGGAUUUGGUAUUCCAGUUGAGUGGAUUUAUGGCUGAGGUGCAUGUGAGACGUCCUUCACCUCGAGUCUGGAUGUGUGCGGUAUUCCGCAAAUGAUUGACUCGAGACCGAGUCGGGUGGUUAGCUCGGCUAGGGUAGAGAAAAACCUUAGGAGCAAAUAACCAAUGAUGUAAAGUGACAAGAUGUGCAAAUUAUGAAAAAGCUAUGGAUAGCAUGAUUGAAAGUAAAAUCAUUUAUUCUACUUGCACAGUUGCAUGGAUUUCAUAUCGCAUAUCGUGAGGCAUAACAUGUAGUUCAAUAUCGGGUAAAUGUAUAAAUAUCUGUUAUAUGUUAUUGGACUAACCUGUUGCAGUGCCUCAUUAGACCUAUUGGUUGAGCUUUUCCCUUGGGUGGCCGUACCCACUGGGAAUCAUGGAGUUUGUUCUCACCCCACGUUGUAUUGGGGUGUUACAGGUUCACACGUGAGUGGCGCGGCGGCGCGAGGCGAGGGCGUAGCUCCGUAGUUAGCGCCCUACUACCUAGACCAAAGAUAGCGGUACCCUGAGUCGGCUAAUUAGGGAUGUAAGAAAACGAAAGGAAUAAGAUUGCAAUAAUUUAUAAUAAAAGCAUGAUUGUAUUUGGAAGUUAAAUGUAAUAUGUAAUUGUAAUGUAAAAUGUAUCUAGUGAAUGCGAAUGCUUGUAAUAACAAGUAGAUUAUAUUUUUGAUACUUCCUUAUGCAAUCUUUGUUUGAAAUGUGUUCCUGAUUGAAACUUCGUACAUUGUAUUGAUUGUGACGCCUUGGACGUACAGGGGAGACUCUGUCCGCGGUACAGGAAAAACUCUCUCCGUUCGGCGGACUGUUGGCGUGUCCGAAACCGAGCAAAUAGGCGGGCUCGGGGCAUGACACUUUUCGUUUUGGUCAUGCUCGGCACCUUUGUUCUCUAACAACAACCUGCACAUUCGCUCGGUGUUACCACACUGUUGACUCCAGACUCGUUUACCCGAAAGGAAAGCGACCGGUGCACCAAUCUCACCGGAUCAGUCACCAUCGCCGUGGUGAUCCAUUGAUUGGGAGUGUUUAGGAAUUAACCACCAAUGACACAUGUCUCAAAUUAUCAACUCUUGAGAAUAUGUAUCAUAAUCUUAUUAAUUCCUUGGACAAUUCAUGGACACAUAUACAACAUGAAUAAAAAUAAGAAUCCAAAUUCAUUCAUAAUAUUUAAAAUUAAAUAUAAAUUAUGUUCUAGAAAGAAUACAUAUAUCAGCCUGGUUGGUUUCUAGGGCAUACAUCUCACAAUAGUUGCACCUACAAUGUAGUAAACACAACUAAAAUAGAGUAACAGAGCUGCUAAAACUGGUAGAUACAUACAUACAUACAUAAUAUAUAUAUAUAUAUAAAGAGAGAGAGAGAGAGAGAGAGAGAGAGAGAGAGAGAGAGAGCGCUAGGCUGCUAUACUAUCGGUAGCACGGACGCCUCCGUUGCUACCAAGUUGUUUUCAAUGAUGUCGCUUCCAAAUUGACGAUCGGCUCCAUUAGAUUUGAUCUACACUAUGGAAAAUAUUUGGAAACUAAAUUUCAUAAUUUUUCGGUAUCAUUUACCUAUCAAACGAGCAGUCUAAAAAUGAACGGCUGAAAAUAAAAAUCUCAUAAAAAAUGAUGAUAGAAGACUUGAAUUUAAAAUCAGAGAUACUGAUCUUACUCUAAAUAGUAAAAAGAAUUUUCUAUAAAAAUUUCAUCUGAUUUGGAUUGUUUUGCACCGUUAAAUUUACAAAUGCAUCACAUCUACCAUUAAAAUUAUCAAUUUUGAGACCUUUUGAUCACUAGCCAAAUGAUGUCGAAAAAUUCUAAAAUUUAGUUCCAAAUACUUUCAAUAGUGUAGAUCAAGUCUAACAGAGCUGAUUUUCGAUUUGAAAGCCGCAUCAUCGAAAACAACUUGGUAGCACGGAACUACCGAUAGUAUAGCAGCCGGACUCUAUAUAUAUAUAUAUAUAUAUAUAUAUAUAUAUAUAUAUAUAAGCCAAUUGUACAUACAUGUCUCCAAAAUGUGUUCUUGUAUAGAAAAAUGGGAAAUACAACAUCAACUCAACUCCUACAUAUCUAUAAAUCUAUAAACUACUAUUAAUCCCCGUGGGAUUCAAACCCUCUCCGUAUUUCAGGAAAAAAAUGGGUCCCACCUCUUCUCUUAAACUGCAGAAUACGUUUAAUAAACCUAUUUUCUCUCUCCUUUUAAUUAAGGUGAUGCUGUUUUGUACGAGGGACUCCUCCGAUUCUCCUUCUCUCCCUCUCAUCCGUCCCUUCGUCUCUUCUCUCUCAAUUUAUUUUUUUAUUCUUCCGCCCGUUUACCUCCCUCUCUUACCCUUUCUUAUGUCCGCCCGUUUUCCUUACCGCAUGCCUCCUCCCUCUCCUUCCCUCUCAUCCUUCCAUAUCCCCUCUUUCCCAAAACACCUCUCCUCCCUCCCUGACCCUCGGCUGAUGUGCGCCCUCCUCACUUCCCUCAGGUACCACCUCCUUCGCUCCUCCGCCCCUUCCGACUCACCUUCGAUGCCCUCGAGGGCCCCUUCCUCGACCACCUCCGCCGCCGCAGCAGCAGCAGCCUCGGGCGCCAUGCAGUGAGGGGAGGAGGACCUUCUCUUAACAGGGCCAUGGCGACGAAGCGGCGCGAGCUCGACAACACGGGGCUGAGGCUCAGCUACGUCGGCUUCGGCACCUCCCCUCUUAGCAACGUAUUCGGCCGCGUCUCCCCUGCCGUCGUGGUCGUUGCCGUGCGCCACGCCCUCGACCUUGGGAUCAACUUCUUCGACACCUUCCCGUCCGUAUCCCUAACUCUAGCCCUAGAUCUCCUUCUUUGUACGAGCUUCGAGGUUCGAUCUUGAUGCGUGGCAGGUACUAUAGGGGGGGCAGUGCUCGGCAAGUGCCUCAGGGAGAUCGGGGCGCCGCAAGAGGAGGUCGUCGUCUCCACCAAGUACGAGCACUACGCAGACGGUUCGACUUUAGUGCCGAGCGCGUGUCGCACGGCGUCAACGAGAGCCUCGCCCGCCUCAAUCUCGACUACGUCAACAUCCUCUAUUGCCACGACAUCGAGUUCGCCCCUUUCGUCGAUCAGGUCCAGUUCCUCCCUUUACCCACUUUUUUUUUUGUAUUUUUGUCCUUUUGGUAUCAAAUUAUCAUAGACUUGGAUUGUUUUGCGAUUUUCUAUCUAUGUGUGUGGAUUGUUUUGCAAUUCAGUGUAUUUGAAUGUUCGUGUGUGCAUGCACACGCGCAUGUGUUGAAAGAUUGGGAUUGGAUUGGACUCCAUUGUUUGCUUUGGCUGUUAUCCUUAGUCUUAUGGCUCAUAAGUAAAUUACGAAGAGUAUAUUUCUAUACAUAGCGAAUGCAUUCUGAUUUGCAAUUUCACCCAAAUCACGAAUUUGGAGGAUUCCGAGCAAAGUGUAAUCCUCUGGUCCGAGAACUUAUCUGUCCAUGAUUUAUAAUAAUCUUCUCUAAAUUAGUUGGAUUUCGGUAAGUGCAAGCUAAUCCGAACUCUUUGAGGUUGGUUUGCUGUCAAUUGAAUUUCACAACCAUAUGAAAAUUCGUCUAAUAGUAUAUUUUGAUUUCUAGUAGAUGUGAAUUAGGGCAAAAUUGAGAAGUAAACAAUGGAGUUCAUUCCAAGCAAUGGAUUUUGACUCCUAAUUGAUUCGUUUUAUUCUCUAAUUGCAAAUCAAUUAAGUUUCUACAUAUGCUUCGGGAGCUAGUACGCCCCGUCCGUAGUUUUCCUCUCUCUCUCUCUCUCUCUCUCUCUCUUCCUAAGGUGGUCUCUCUCUCUCUCUAUUAUAAUAAGUCAAAACAAAGCAUACUAGGGGAAAAGAGAAAAUAACACUACAUGUAAUAUCUUAACAGUUAUUGUUGCACAUGCAUGCUCUCUCUCUAAAUCAUCGUGCAAUAUAAAGACAUUGUAUUGUCAAAAAAAAUUAUAAAGACAUUGUAUAUUUAUUAUUUUUUAUAAUCUGUUCUUAUUUUUACUGAAUAUGUCUCAAGUGUUUUGGAUGUAUUCCGCAAUAGUUAACUGAUGCUGAGAUUGUGUAUCAUCAUAUGAUCAGUUCGGGACUGUAGUAGGCUUAGUUGCCUAAAAUUAUUAGAUUGUUUUCCAUUCCUGUACUUUUGGAUUUGGUUUAAUUCGCAGGAACGGUAGGCCAAAUCCGUUUGCCCAAGGAAUGGUUUGUCGCUGCGGAGAUCGAGCUUGAGCACACCCCUGUUGUCUACCUUUGUAUGCAUCUCCUUCUCUUCCUCUCUCUUUCUUCCUCUGUUUCUAUGUGCUCUAACAAUCCCUACCUAAUUUAAUAGAAGAAACGAUAUAAAGAGAGAACAAGGGUGGUCAAUGAUGGUCUUUUAAUUUAGUUUCUUUGUUUAUGAACUUUUCAAGUGGUAGGUGAAUAUUUUUUUGCAAAAUUUGUUUUACUAUUUUUCGAAAAACUUGGUAAUUAACUUCCCUCAAUAUGUUCAAUUUUCACCUUAAUAUAUAUGAUCCAACCAUUCACAAUAAUGUGAAAUUCCAUCUUUCUAACACCUAUUUAAAAAUUAUUAAAAUACUAACUGUUGGUAUAGAUAUUCAAUGAUUUAUUAUGGCUAGGUAUAUUAACUAACUUUUGUUUUUUUUCCCUUUAUUAUUGCAGCCUUUAUUUCUGGGAGAAAGUGGGGUUGAUCAGCUGAUGUAAAUUAUGUCAUUGCAAAAUUUAAUUCAUUUCCAACACGCAUGCAUAUUUAAAUUUAAACUUAAACAAAGUAUUUAAUAUUUAAAUAAAACUGAACAUUUUCCAAUUGAUUGUUGCUUUUGCGAAAGAUUUUGGGUACCCCAACGUGAUAAGAGAUUAAAGGCAUGAAUCCAAACUAUUCCAACACUCUCCUAAUUUGCACUGCAUGGCUGUAAGAUUUUUUGUAACUUCUAUUUUAUAUGCUUGCGCUCUAAUUGUACUUGCUGCUUUUAUUUAUCUUUUAAUAUUUAUUUGUUUUGUUAAAAGUUUGAAAGUAAAGUGAGUAAAUCAGAAAGUCAACAUUCAGUUAUAUGGAAAGCUUUUCUUCUAUCAUUUAUUUUUGAGAUUUUAUGGACUUACUCUAAUUACCAAAAUAAAGAGUAACUUCAAUUUUUUAUCUCUCCAAUGAGAUAUUUUGCUUUUAGUAAAUUGUGUGGAAACUCUAAGCUAAGUUAUGAAAUUGUCUACAUUGCUAGGGUCCAUGAUUGUCCUAAUAAGGGCUUUGUAAAUCCCUUCGCCGAAUUUCAACAAGAAGUAAGCCAAGUUAUGCAAUUGUCCAUAGCACAAAGAACAUCAUGGAAUUCUUAGUUCUAAAGGAGGUAAUACACAUUCUACGAUUUUCUAUUAAUUUAUUAUUGUCCUAUUUUAGUGUACCAGACUAGACAAAAUGUUAAAAUUUCUUCUCAACUAUUUGGACGCACUAGGCUUGGAUGUUGUUUUUUUCCAGCUUGUUUGGCAUUUUUCAUUUCUUUUAUAUAUUUCACUAAUAUCUAGAACUUUUUUAAUGUAAAACAUAAAUCAAUAAAAAUUUCAUAGUAAGACUUUUGAAAAAUGAUUUCUUCUGUUUUCUUAGGGUUAUACUAUUUCAUCCUUAUAAUUGUAUUUUUCAUAUUUAUAUUUUUUUUGUUUCUUUUAUUGCUUACCAAUGAACCAUAUUAAUUUGUAUUUUUUUUUCAUGUUGUUUAACUUUUUUUAAAUUUUUAUCAAUUACUUGAAUAAAUAUACAAUACAUGAUAUUUUUGUACCAUAAUUCUAUUUGAAGUUUUUGUAACUCUGUAAGUUGAUAACUCUUACGCAGACUGUAACCAAGGAAGUAAUUGCCGGGCUGAAAGAAGUUUACAAAGCUCUACAAAUGCAGAUGCAAUGUUCGGUGUAGGUCUAUUCUUUUUUUGGUAGUUUUCGAGUGCAAAAUGACAACAUAUUUCUUUAAUGUUAUUUCUUGAACUUUUAUUAAAUUAUUGUUCUCUUUAUUAUAUUAAUUUUCUAACAAACUUAUGAAAAGGGGUGAUUCCUAUUGAUCUUAGUUGUGGAACUAAAUCAAGAGAGUAAAAGAAUUUAAUUCAUAGGUUUUAUUUCUUUAUUAUUGAAAUUAAAUCAAUUCUACAUCCGUCCAUAAAGAAGUUAUUUAAAAUACACAACAAUCGACAGAGUAAAGUUAUUAAGAGCACCGGUUAAGUUGUCAUACUGCAUCAAUAGGCUAAAUAAAGUAUACAGGUUAUUGGGCUGUGGGUGAAAACUGAUUUUUUUACGAUUAAGCGGUGGGCCUUACUGAAAUUAAAACAAAUAGCUGAAAUUGGCUAUUAUUAUUUUCAAAUUUGUUUACAUGACUAUUGUGUAUUCUUUCAUACUUUUUCAUUAAUUUUCUUUAUAUUUCGUAUUAAUUCUGUGAUGGUAUAAUAAUUUUGAUAUCCAUCGGCAAGUGUCAUAAUUAUUGGCUUUCAAAAAAAGAAAAAUCAAAUUUGGAUCAGGAAAGAGAAGAGAGAGAAGAGGACGGAUGAACCUCUUAAUAUGAUUAGUUAAAUCUAAAUUUGAGACAAUUGAAUUUGCCCUUCGUUAUUUAUUAUUCUUCUUUCACAAGAUUUCAAAUAUAUUUUUAAGAUAUCUAUGUUCUUUCUUUUCCUUUUUUUUUUUUGUUCUCUAUUGAAUUGUAUUACUAUUUUAAAAAAAUUUAAUGUAUGUUUUACAUUUUUAACCUAUCAAAUGUGGUUUUAUCAUGCUGUAUUUUAAUGUAUGUUUUACAGUUUUAAAUUUUUAAUCAAUUAAAUAUGGUUAUAUCAUGCUAUUUCUUCUUUACGUUUUUAUUUGUUUAUUUAUUUUGCAAAAUUUUGCUAUAACAAUUUUAUUUUUAUUUAUUUAUAUAUAAUUCAUAAAUUUUUAUUAUGCCAAUUGCUAUCCGCCGCAUCGCGCGGGUCCUACACUAGUAAAUAUCAUUAAAUGUACAUGGCCACAAAGAGACUAUCUCCAUAAGGGUAUAUAUAAAAGCCAAUUGUACACACGUCUCCAAAAUGUGCUCUUGUAUAGAAAAAUGGGAAAUACAACAUCAACUCAACUCCUACAUAUAAAUAUCACUAAAUGUACAUGGCCACAAAGAGACUAUCUCCAUAAGGGUACUCGCACACCAACCGGGGUAAGACAGGAAUCUAGCUUGCGACUCCCUUACCUCGAUUAGCAGUAGCAACGGAUGACUCUACAAGAAAAUGGGUAAUAGCGGGUGUGAGAACCACUAUAAAAUAAAGUAGCUCUCAAUGGAUACCAUCACCGAUCCCAACGACCUACCCACUAAGUUUACGAGAGUAACAGUAUAGUUGAUAGGUAAGAAAUAGUAAAGUAAACUGUACUGAAACUCUACAGCUACAAUGCUUUUACACUACCACUAUGCACAACAAGCUCUCUAUAAACAUAAGUCACACUAGCAACAGUUGACAACACUAAUCCAAUCCAAAGAAAGCGCCAAUUCAGCCUGUGCUUAAGCUACACCAUACACCACCCACAGGGGUGACCGGUCCAAGUGUGAUACCCAACAUGACUGCUACGACCAGAACGCAAAAAGGCCUCACUUCGGAGUGGCACUCAGGGGAGCUAACAACCGAGCAGACAAGCGUCCUUUGUCAAGCUCAAACAGGCUCUCUCAGGCUGUGAUCUAUGCAAAUGCUCAAAUGGGUGAAAACACUAGUACCCAUGUACCCUUAGUACAAUCCGAUACAAAUGUAUAGAUUUGGACUCACCGUCAGUCCCGACGACACCCGUAACUCUACUAUGAAAGUGAGCUUGACAUCCCAGCACAACUGUAACCUCCACUUACACUAAUUCCAGUAUCCACGACGUACUAACAGUGAUGAUUUUAAAGUGUAAUCAACUCCUAGAACUAACUCUGUUAACUUUUCGAAAUAUGUAAAGUGUAGGUUUUGUGAGUUUUCUCCCAAGUCAAGUCCCAGCUUAGUAUGUAAAAUUAAUGUAAAAUUAUUAACUCAAGCCACAAAUUUAGAUUCCCUCUAAAAGCAUGCAAAUCUACCAUUUUGAGCUAUUAAAUAGGAUAUUUAAUAUAAAACAAUGCAUUCUAAAAUCUCUACAAAUUAGGAGGGAUUUCGAAGACUUCGGUAAACAUCAACCUACCUCAAACGCAACUCUUACAACGCCAAGAAGUCGAUUGAAUAGUCAAAGGAUCAAAACUAUGCCAACUGAAAGAAAUCAGGUUGAAACCUCAAAUUCGGAUCCACCUGCAGCCUAUUUUGGGUGCCUAGAACUAGAGCCCAGAUCAACAACACUACUUCACAAGGCUGCAAGAAUCCAAGUUGAAAUUCAACUCUAAUUCUGGAUUCAAAUUCAGAAAAACUCAACUAAACUCACCCAUAGAUAGUAAGGAACUUAGUCUUUAGCUUUCUACAAAAUCAAGCCUCAAAUACCAUCAAAAUGCCUGAAGUGGCAAUUCAAAUCCAUGAAAUGGAGGCCCAAAACCUGCAUCUAGAUCGUUAGCACUAAAAUAACCAAGUGUAAUUGAGCUUCAAUCUGGAGUUUCUAACCUAUGAAGUCAAUGGAAAGGGAUCCAAAACCUCCAGGAAUGUGGGGAUAAUCAAUCUAAAUCCAACAAUUAGCUCUCCACCAAAUAUGGAAUCAAAAUUCCAAAGAUUUCAUCAAAACUCUAAAACUUCAUCUUAAAGCUUGAUUUCAUCAAUUCCAGCUUAUUACUCACCUUCCAAUCUGAAUGUUUUGGUGAGAAAGGCUUCUAAUCCAGUGAGAAAAGUUGAGAGAUCAAUCCACCCUCCAAAAAUCUAGCCCAAAAGAAUUUGGAUCCAUAAAAUCAACUAGAAACCCAAUUUCAGCUCUAAAACACUAAGUUCUAUUGUGACACUGUCACGCCCCGGGGCCGAUUUAAAAGCCAUUACCAUUUUUAAAACUCAGAGUCACGGAAGAUGUACCAUUUUUUUUUUUUUUCAACCUGGCCCACGUGACGUACAGACCCGCCACAAAUACAAAGUUCCUCUGUCCACUCGGACAGAGUCUUCUUUGUAUUUGCACGGCGUACCAAUGAUACAACAGGAUCUUAACUACAAUCUACAAUUACCAAUCAACAACCAAUUCAUGAUAUGCAUUUUCAUACAGCUAACAAUCCUUAGAGAUGAUGCAUGCCUCUAAGCACUCCUUAGGCGCUGGAUGAUGCGAUGCACAGUACAACAAUCAUCCUAUUUAAAAGUGCUCCCCACACGGAAGCUUUUAUUUUUUUAAACUCUAAUUCAUUCAUCAUGAAAAACCAUUCGAAAACCUUUUUAAAACUGUUUCCUACAUGGAAACUCUAUUUUGAAAAUCAACUACCUCGAGGGGUAGAAAACCAUGAUAUGUAAAUACAAGAAAAUCCGAUAUCUAUAAAAUCAACAUCCAAAUCCACAAACCUCAGUUCACAUGCAUAAAUAACGAAAGCAUCCACAGAUCUACCAAAACCAGAUCACCAAUAUUCAAACAAUCAUAAAGAUCAGCUAACUGAACCAUUAUUUAAAUGACUACUAAAGGCGGGAAAGAAAUACAACCAGGGUGGCGAUCGCUAUACCAGACUAGCUAGAUCGUCCUCUCGUCGAGCCCAAAAUCCAACUCCUCGUCUAUGUCACCUGGGGGGAAAUGGGGGGUGAGAAACCGCAACCAUGAUUUUCUCAGUGGGUACGACAGAGCCACGAAGGCAAGCCGUAAUCACCGGAAACCAAAGGAGAUAGAUAAACAAAUAUAGAUGCUAAUAUAUGAAAACGAACUACAGUAGCUAUAACAGAUAUGAACAUGAUAUGAUGUAAAAGCAACUACAGUAGUAAUAGAAACAGGAUAAUAACUGAGCAAGAAUGAAACUACUACUGUAACCAAAAACUCAACUGAUCAGAUGCCUCAAAGGUGAAUAGUCCAAAACCAAACCCAAUCUGAUACUGCUAUAUUGGUCCGCAGACCUCAAGCGUUGCCUGUCACAGAGCAGACACUGCGAGCUUAUUCAUGCGUCACCGACGACCUAUCCGGAUACGUACACCCCUUGGUUGGUGGCCAAACCAACCUGGUGUCUAGAAUAUACAGUGCUGUGACUAAAUCAUGCUGAUAUGCUCAAACAAAACCAGCAAAAAGAGACCGGUGCCAUGGCCAAAGCCAGGUGCAAGGGCGUACAACGCCGAACCACGAUCAACCAGAUCGAAACACAUGACAAGAGAGUCGAUGUGUUGCCUGGACCCAAGGUCCACAGAGAUGCAAUAUACGAGUGCAAGCCUGCUCUACAUGUCUAUCCACAACUAUACAAAUGCAAUCAACGGAAUACGAUAAACAAGCGAUAAACAAUCAACUGACAUGUAGAGACUACGAUACUGAUAUGAAAGAACAGAGGAAGGGUGAAACGAUCCCACCGACUACCAGCUCGAAGCACCCACCUGUCACUGUCGCGUCGGAACACUGGGUACGCACAAGUCGACCGGACCUACGAAGAUCCAACGGGUCAGUAACCAACCCACUCACCUGAAGUGCACUAUCUCACAAACCCCCACACAGAUCCCCGUAUCGGUUUCCCAAAACCGAUCAUCGUAACUCACCGAAAGUCCCAAAAACCACACCGGGACGUCGUCGGGACCCACUAAGUGUCCCGAAACUCACCGACUCGUGUCACGAGUCACCUGCUGCUCCAGAAUACUCCGAUUUGGAUGUUUUGGAAGCAAACACAAGAUAACAUCACUAUACAAUUAUCGCCGGAUAAUUGUACGAAUCUGGAUUCCCGAAAGUGUCUAUUUCGACACCGGAACCCACCGUCGCUCACCCAUCAUCAUCGAACCCACAAAAUGAUGAUGGUGACUAGCCAACAAGGCUCAGCGAUAAAUUACAGGAUAACCAAUCCACAUCGGAAGAAAUCCGAACCGAAACCGCGUUCUUUCGGCGAAUUUCGCCGAAAAACGCGCCGAAAUCGACUUUUUGAUUUCCGCGAAAGCUACAGGAUCAUGGACAAUCAGUCCAAAGGUCAAACACGCUCACGUGCACUGCCCACAGUAGCCAUAAGGAGCACAAAUGCAUAAAAGACCCUCAAUUUACAUAAAAUCCUAUUAUUUCAUGUAAAUUGAGCGAUCAAGUGGCUCGUUCACGUAAACCGAGGACUCCCAAGGUCCACAGAGACACGUACUGAUAGGUCUCGACGUACCGAAGGCCAUGCUCAUGAUCCGGAGCACAACGGCUCGAUGUGGGAAGCCGGGAGCAACCCGAAGGUUCAGCGAACAGCGCGCAGCCACAGAAAAACGCACCGAACAGGACUAACCGGACACUGUUGAUCCAAAAUAAGGUGAGCACCGUGAUCAGCACUGACCAGCGGUCACCGUGCUCACCUCCGGAGGCAUCGGAACAGCCUCGGAUCGCCGGCAAAAUAUGCACAAACAUAGAGCCACAGCCAAAAAGGCUGAAACGAAGCUACAUCGCCGAAACAGCGAAACGGGGCCUUCCUGACAGAAACCAAGGUGAGCACGAUGAUCAGAAACUUGCCAGGAUCAUCGUGCUCCCUUCCGUAGAGAUCAGGAAGCCCCGGGAAGCUCGGAACAGUAAACCACCUAACUAAGCCCUAUUUCGGGCUUGGCCGGAGCAAGCUUGCUCCGGCCGGCCUUCGGCGGCACGGCGGCGCGCGCGGCGGCCAGGAACGGGUGCGGGGGAGUUGAAGAGUGAGGUGCUCACCUCAGUCGGCGGCGAGGAGCGGCGGCGGCGACGGCGGAACCAACCCAGCCCGCACGAGCUAAAGCUCGAGUUCCAGCGAAACUACGGCCACGGCGGCGGUCGGGGCUCCUCGGGGACGACGGCGGCAGGUCCUCAGAGGCCGGAGGAGGAGGAGGAAGGCGGCGGGCGAUAGCGGCGGCGGCCCGCGGCUCGGGCGCUGCCGCUCGAGCUAAGCUCGGUCUGCAGACCUAGGCGGCGGCACCCAAGGUUCAGGGAGGCCGUGGCGAUCCGAAGGGCGGCGGCGACCGGCCAGGAAGGUCGGUGGGACACAGGAGAAGGCCGCGGGAGCGACCUCAGGGAGUGGCGGCGCGGGGGCAGCUGCUGGAACUCGGCUCGGCCGAGCCUUGUCCUAGGCGGCAAACCAGCCAGGGCGGCAGCGGCGGCGCUAGGCGACGGCGGCGGUCGGCGGGGAUGCUCGCCGGAGCACGGGGCGACACUAGCAGAGGGUCUGGAGGUGGCGGCAGUCUCGGGCUUCCUCACAACCCGAGAGAAGAGAGAAAGAAAGAAGAUGGCGCAAUGGUUGGGUGGCAAGGCUGCGGCGGCGGCUGGCCGGCCGGGGCUCAGUCGGCGGCGGCCUGGGCGUGCGCAACAGGUGCAGGGAAGUGGGGUGAAGGUGGCUGGGGGUGCGGCUAGGGCUAGGUUAGGGUUACCAGGCUCCAAACCCUAGAGAGCUAUAAAUACCAAGGUGCAACUUUGCAAAUAAGUCCACCAAACCUCAGUAUUUAUUACUUAGUCCUUCACAGUGCGUAUAAAACGCGCGAACACCCUUCCACGUGCGAUCCCACGUAAAACGGUACAUAAAAUAUCGAGACUUUCGCGAAAAUACCAUUUUGCCUUCACCGACCUCUCCUCGAUCAACGUGCGAUCUCCGCAGAUCCGUCCGUCGGAUUUGCGAACGGAUUGCACCAGUGCGAUCAGCACCUCGGAGAUAGCAAAGCUACGAUUUUUGGUUCACCUCGAUCGACCACGAAUUCACGACGAAAUCCAUUCUCUUUCCAAAAGGCCGCAAUGACGCAAAAUUACAUAAGAAACAUGUAUUUUCAGAUUUUCUUGAAAUCCGUGCGUCAAAACCAAAAUCCGUCAGCGCCAGUAGUUCCAGAAUAGCUAAACCGAUCGAAACGAGCUAUUGGACUGCUAUGAACGGAGUCCGAUAAGCACCAGAAGCCAACUCUACUCCGUGGCUUCUUCGGAAAACCGGAGUUACUAUUCACUUAAGUGAAAACUAAAAAUCGCGUAUCUUCUCCAUUUUAGCUCAUUUUCUUCUGAAACUUGACGAGUACUUAUGUAAUUAAAUUACACACAUAAACAUCGUCAACUGAGAGUUUAACUACACUACAAAAAUCUCAGUCCUUACAGACACCCAAAUAGUCCCACAUCAGAUAGUAAAAGGACUCCACAAUAGUAAUAAUAACUGGGCUUAAGCAUUUUGAGCCGAUGAUUUUGAUCCAACAAGUUAUUAUUGCUGGCGAGUUGGGUCGUUACAUUUGGUAUCGAAGCAAGUUCACCAGUCAGAAGUGUGAGAUGAGUCUUGGCUGAGUCAGGGUUGGAAUGACAGACUAAGACAAAGUUGAUGAAUAACAGGCUAAGUCAGGGUUGGAAUGACAAGGCUAGCAAGACAAGUCUCACAUCGUCUAGUGAUGUUUGUGUGUUUAGGGCUGACAAGGACAUCAGGGCCUAAACGGAGAGGGGGGGGGGGCUUGUGACACCCCAAUAAUCCCAUAUCGAAUAGUUAUGGCUAGAUGUGAGAGUAUAUAAACUUAAUUAGGCAAGACAUAAUAACUGAAUUUACACAUUUUGGGUCAGCGGUUUGGGCCCAACGAGUUAUUAUUGCUAGUGGGCCGGAUCGUUAAAUCUAUAGAAAUUCACUAAUUAAGCAUUAUUAACCUAAAAUUAAAGCUAUUAAAGUGGUCCCACAGCCUCUCCUUAAAGUCUAAAGUCCAUAAAUCUGUCCCCUACAGCAACAGGAAGCUCCAAUAGCCAAUUUUCCAAUUGGAUCAAGUCGUUACUGGAAUUAAGCUGAAAUUCCAAUGUUUCAAGGAGAAAAAAUAGAUUUGUUGGGGCUUUAGAGGGAAUUUGGUGAAAGUUUCAGGUUAGAUGUGAAAGAGGGUGAAAAAUGACUCUCAGGGACAAUCUCCCAUUUUGUAUAGUGGUAUUAUAGGUUGGGUAAAAUGAGCCACAAGAACACAAGAUAAUAACCUAUUACAGUGUUGAAAUUCCCACUUUCGGGCGUCCUAAACCAACUUCCAGGCGCCCUAAACUUGUUCUGCACCACUCUUCAGCAAUUCGAACUCAUGCUCGCAGUGGUCCGGUGCGACCUAAACUGGUCCGACGGCUCACACCUACCACUUGCCUCGUGUCAACGGGUUCCACAUGAGGAAUAAUUUGGGCUCAACAUUUAGGCACCCUAAACCUGGAUCCGAAAUGUCUGUAGUAACCCAUACUAAAUAGCACUCACAUCUGGGCACCCUAAACCAUUUCUGGGUACCCGAAAUUGCCAAAACUUAAGUUUUGGCUUAUUUGAGUGCGUCGAGUUCGUUUUCGUGUCAACUUCGCGCUAAAAUAACUUCGACUCAUCGCAACACUCUAUAGAAGUGUUGACCAGUCACUAAUACUACAUUUGUUGUGAGGGUAUAAUGGUCGACAUCCCAAGAUCUAGGAUAAGUUCUGGCUUAUUUGAGUUCGUCGAGUUCGUUUUCGUGUCAACUUCGCGCCAAAAUAACUUCGACUCAUAGCAACACUCUAUAGAAGUGUCGACCAGUUACUAAUACUACAUCUGUUGUGAGGGUAUAAUGCUCGACAUCCCAAGAUCUAGGAUAAAAGUGUUAGAAACUUGCGUAUGGUAAAACGCAGCGGAAAAAGAAAUCAAACAAAUUUGAUUUUCAAAAACUCUUGAGAUCCAAUAUCAAGAUCAAGCAAUUAGGAUCCCUCAUGUUCUUUAAGAUUAGAGGAGAAAAGUAAGAUCGAAUCUUUACCUUUUGUGUGGGUAGAUCUUCACCUCAAUUUGAUGAUCAUAGAAUUAGAUUUUUUUAAAGCCGCACACGCGUCCGGCCUCUAUAGAAAGAUGGAAGAGAGAGGUGAAGAGAAAUGAUGGCUAGAAUUUUCUAAAAGCUUCCGUAUAUUAUCUAGAGAAAUAUAAUCCUCUUUUUAAUAAUAUAAUGACAAUUAAGAAUAAGUACAAAUCUAUAUUAAAUUUAUUCUUUCCUUAAUUGGUUAGAUCGAUCAAAAUCUAAUUUGAUUCGACUUAAAUUUAUCUUAGUUUGAUCAUAUCAAAUUAAUAAUACAACAUUUGCACAUAAGUCCUCUCAUAAUUUACUAACUAUUAGUUAGUCCUCUGUUGUAACAUUUACACUUUAAUAACACUAAUUUGUAAUAAUUACAAAUUAGUCCAAUUAUCAACAUAUUGACAAUUUGGUCUUUCGAUGAUUCAAAAAUCGCGAUCUAGCUAUCCGAUCAGUCACAACCUCUUAUGUGUGUGACCCCAUAGAUUCUAUUCUAUCUGGUAGUGAGAUAUAUUUUGAUUACUAUCAACAAUAUCACUGAAACUCCUUUCAAUGGAUCGGAACAAUUCUAACUCAGCCUAAUAAGAAUUACCGAUCAUCUAGAUAAUUCUCAUGAGUUUCAUAAUCCACCAGUGACGCCUAGCAGC
rnacentral:lncRNA from 1 species